rnacentral:lncRNA from 1 species
GGGUUUUGAUUAGAUAAAGUUUAGCCAUCUUUGCUACUUUCGUGUAAUCGCGUGUGUCGGUUAGACCACCUGUUUUACCGUCGUCAAGACUCCAACUUAUCGUCUCAUUGAGACAUUGGUUUGAUAUAGUAUACUCGCAAUUUUAGAUUGCAUCCGCUAUUUAUCUUGUUCUUGCUUGUUCUUCGAUUGCUUGCAGGAACAAAGACCUUCGUGGUCAGGUUGAUCGUGCCCCCGCGUGAUCAAUAACCCUCUGGAGUUGGUGUAUCGAUUGCUAAGGCGCUGCCUCCUAGGCCGUAGUCGGAUCGUCAACGUCACCUCCUACCCAAAUCGAGAGUUAGCAAUCUCAUCGAAAGAUCGGGCCACCCGCACCCGUAUCACGUGGUAUCAGAGCUUAAGGUUGCUCGGUGAGAUUUUUUCAGUUUAUCCGUAGUUUAGAUCUGUUUUUACCUAUCGUCCAGAAAAAGCCAAACAAAAAUUAGAAUUAGUUACCUUGUCCUAGAACCAAUUUGAGCCUUGCAAUUUUCUCUUUAGUAUUUGCAUUGUUGAAUCUUUGGUGCAUUAAUCGUGUCGAGUUGCUGGAUUAGAUUGGAUCGUUUUUCAGAUUUUUUCUACUAGAUCGAACUUGCUUUUGGUUUUCUUGUUCUUCGUGUGACGCAGGUUUCCUUUAUCAAUCUUCCGCCGCCAAACUUCCUGCCACACCACCGCCAUAAUCUCCCGCCGCCACCAUAUCUUCCACCGAGUCUCUCUUCGAGUCCUACACCGAGUCCCUCUUUGAGUCCUACACCGAGUCCCUCAUCGAGUCCUACACCGAGUCCCUCAUCGAGUCCUACACCGAGUCCCUCUUCGAGUCCUACACCGAGUCCCUCGUCGAGUCCUACACCGUGUCCUACAUCGAGUUCUACAUUGAGUCGGCAAGUUAUAGUUUUCAACCGCAAGUUCGAGUCCGAGUCCAAUCAAGAGUGCUUUUGGAAAGUUUUCAUAAUAAAUCGAAUUUUAUUUAGAGAUCAAGUUGUUCGGAAAGUUGUCAAAAAAAAUGAAAGGAAAGAAAAAAAAAAGGAAAGAAAGAAAAAAAAAACGAAAAAAAAAGAGAAAGAGUUCGAGUCAAUUUCGGACCCGAGUCCGAGUAGAAUUUUACUUUCGGGUGGGUUUGACCCGUGUUCAGUAAAACGGGCGUAUCUUUUGUGUACCAACUCGGAUUUGGACGUUCUUGGACACGUUUCGCUUCGAUGAGUAGGUUUGUUUGGUGUGCUCCUAGUACCUCAAAUGGACACGUUCCGGAUCAAAGUUUAGCACCGACUCUGAUUUGGCCGGCUUGUCCGUCCUAGCGAGGGACCAUGCCUAGCGAGUCCGUACAACUGGUCUACUCUUGUUUCGCUUCGAUGAGUAGGUUUGUUUGGUGAGCUCAUCCUAGUACCUCAAAUGGACAUGUUCCGGAUCAAAUUUUAGCACCGACUCGGAUUUGGCCGGAUUGUCCGUCCUAGUGAGGGACCAUGCCUAGCGAGUCCGUACAAGUGGUCUAGUCUUGUUUCGCUUCGAUGAGUAGGUUUCUUUGGUGUGCUCAUCCUAGUACCUCAAAUGGACACGUUCCGGAUCAAAUUUUAGCACCGACUCGGAUUUGGCCGGAUUGUCCGUCCUAGUGAGGGACCAUGCCUAGCGAGUCCGUACAAGUGGUCUAGUCUUGUUUCGCUUCGAUGAGUAGGUUUGUUUGGUGUGCUCAUCCUAGUACCUCAAAUGGACACAUUCCGGAACAAAGUUUAGCACCGACUCCGAUUUUGCCGGAUUGUCCGUCAUAGGGAGGGACCAUGCCUAGCGAGUCCGUACAAGUGGUCUAGUCUUGUUUCGCUUCGAUAAGUAGGUUUGUAUGGUGUGCUCAUCCUAGUACCUCAAAUGGACACGUUCCGGAUAAAAGUUUAGCACCGACUCCGAUUCACCCGGAUUGUCCGUCCUAGUGAGGGACCAUGCCUAGCGAGUCCGUACAAGUGGUCUAGUCUUGUUUCGCUUCGAUCAAUUGGUUUGUUAGGUGUGCUCAUCAUAGUACCUCAAAUAGACACGUUCCGGAACAAAGUUUAGCACCGACUCCGAUUUUGCCGGAUUGUCCGUCCUAGUGAGGGACCAUGCCUAGCGAGUCCGUACAAGUGGUCUAGUCUUGUUCCGCUUCAAUAAGUAGGUUUGUUUGGUGUGCUCAUCCUAAUACCUCAAAUGGACACGUUCAGGAUCAAAGUUUAGCACCGACUCCGAUUUGGCCGGAUUGUCCGUCGUUGUGAGGGACCAUGCCUAGCGGGUCCGUAUAAGUGGUCUAGUCUUGUUUCGCUUCAAUAAGUAGGUUUGUUUGGUGUGCUCAUCCUAGUAGCUCAAAUGGACACGUUCCGGAUCAAUGUUUAGCACCGACUCUGAUUUGGCCGGAUUGUCCGUCCUAGCGAGGGACCAUGCCUAGCGAGUCCGUACAAGUGGUCUAGUCUGUUUCGCUUCGAUGAGUAGGUUUGUUUGGUGUGCUCAUCCUAGUGCCUCAAAUGGACACGUUCUGGAUCAAAGUUUAGAACAGAUUCGGAUUUGGCCGAAUUGUCCGUCCUAGCAAGGGGCCAUGCCUAGCGAUUCCGUACAAGUGUUCUACUCUUGUUUCAAUUCGAUGAGUAGCUUUGUUUGGUGUGCUCAUCCUAGUAUCUCAAAUGCACACGUUCCAUAUCGAAGUUUAGCACCGACUCCGAUUUAACCGGAUUGUCCGUCCUAGUCAGGGACCAUGCCUAGCGAGUCCGUACAAGUGGUCUAGUCUUGUUUCGCUUUGAUGAGUAGGUUUGUUUGGUGUGCUCAGCCGAGUACCUCAAAUGGACACGUUCCGGAUCAAAGUUUAGCACCGACUCUGAUUUACCCGGAUUGUCCGUCCUAGGGAGGGACCAUGCCUAUCGAGUCCGUACAAGUGGUCUAGUCUUGUUUCGCUUCGAUGAAUAGGUUUGUUUGGUGUGCUCAUCCUAGUACCUCAAAUGGACACGUUCCGGAACAAAGUUUAGCACCGAGUCCGAUUGAUAGCCUCAAGGGUGUCCCGAUCUUUCGAUGAGAUACCUAAUUAUCGAUUUGGUAGGAGGUGACGUUCACGAUCCGACUACAACCUAGGAGGCAGCGCCUUAGCGAUCGAUACACCAACUCCAGAAGGUUAUUGAUCCCGCGGGGGCACGAUCAACCUGACCACAAAGGUCUUUGUUCCUGCAAGCAAUCGAAGAACAAGCAAGAACAAGAUGAAAAGCAAUCUGAAAUUGCGAAUAGGAGAUAUGAAGGUUCACGAAUCUGAAUACUCAAUAUAGUUGGAGUCUUGAUGACGGUAAAACAGGUGGUCUAACCGACACACGCGAUUACACGAAAGUAGGUGGAAGCAACGGACGCUGCUGAACUUUGUGCAGAGGCAGCGGGUGUAUUUCUUGUUGCUGCUGGUCCAACCUUUGCGGAUGUAGGUGUAGAGGUACUUUGCUUGUUGGUGGAAGUAGUCGGAACAGCCGGACGUGUAGGGGGUGCAGCUGGGCGUGUGGAAGGGGCAGCGGGGCUGCGUGCUGCCCAUGAGGAAGUACGACCUGCAGAAAAGUUAGUCCGCGCGUUCGCGUGUCGUCCCUGCACUUCCCUUUCAGCUUUGCAAGCAAUGUGAAAUAAUCGAUUGAUAGAAUUAUACUCCUUAUAAUCAACAAUGUCAGCAAUUUCACGAUUUAAACCACCAAAGAAUCUAGCCAUAGCAGCUUCCUCAUUCUCAACUAAACCACAACGUAACAUCUUCUUUUGCAUUUCUUGAUAAUAAUCUUGGACAGAAUUACUACCUUGCCUUAAUUGUUGUAGUUUCUUUAACAAGUCACGCGAAUAGUAUGAAGGAACAUAUCUAGCACGCAUAAUUCUUUUCAAAUCAUCCCAUGUUGGUGGUAUAGCGUUAGGAUGUGCAAUACAAUACUCAUGCCACCAAACAGAAGCAAAAUCAGUAAACUCACUAGUAGCAGCCCUAACCCUCUUAUUAGCAGGAAAAUCAUGGCAAGUAAAUUUUUGACUCAAUUCUAAUUCCCAUGUAAGGUAAGCAUCAGGGUCAUAUUUUCCAUCAAAAGGAGGAACCUUAAAUUUAAUAGAAUGCAGCAAGUCAUGUUCCUCUCUGUGAGGUCGUGUCAGUCCCAUACCUCGGCGGUUGAAACGAGUUCGGCGAUGAUCACGGUAGUUGUGAUGGUUUACGGUCCCGUCGUGUUCCGUAUCCGCGGAGUAGUCGUCGUCGUUCUCCUCAACCUCGCUUGCGAAGGUACCGUUAUUAGCGGUCCGCUGGUUGUGAGUAUUGUUUCCUCCCGAUGUAGCGAUGGUCGUUGCAGCAAUUGCCGCCAGUUGCGUCGUGAUUUCUGCCAGAGAAGUACUAAUGGUAGCAACAGAAUUCUGUAAAGAUGUUAGCUUGGUAUUUGUUUCAAUGUGCGCGCUCUCCAAGGUUCCAAGUCUCUCAUUCGCAACCCGAACGUCCUCAUCCAGCUCCUCGUUACGGAGCCUAAGCUUGCGAUCAAAAUGUGAAAUAAUGCCCUUUGUGCGUGGAGAGUGGCCUUGUAAAUCAUCGUCAGAACCUACCAUCGUUAGGAGAAAACAAGAAACAAAUCACAAGAAAAAGUCCCUAUGCACUACUAGGAUGUGGGGUUCCAAAGAUCACUCCACUCAACUUUUAAUCAAGUUCUUACUCGUUCUUACCCAGCAAACAGGAAGGUGAUGGCCAGCGGCGAGAACAAGCCCUCCGAAGAUUAGUGUAUUGAUGCCUCGAGGCAAACCAACCUAGGUGUACAAUCUGUGGAGCUUGGAGGCUUAUGUGAGUAGCAAGGAAAAGCGAAUAAUCAAAUCAGCAAUGCAAAGUUGAAAAUAUGCUCAAAAAUGCUAGUCCUAGUUGCUGGAGUCGACAAGAACGAAUUACAGAAAUUAACUAAGCCUAGAUACUGAAAAAGGUAGAAAGGAAAGAUCAAAUGAAAGGUAAAACAAGUAAAUCUCUGGGGAAUAUUUUUUUUCUCUUUUUUUUUUCUUUUUUUUGGCCUUCUGUUUGGCUUCUUAUUCUUUUCUUUUUUUUUCUUUUUUUUUUAUCCCCAGAAACUCACGCAAAAGAAGUUAAGACCGGAAAGCUGCACGUCGGUCUGUAGGAGAAUAGCAAAGGCUGUAGUAAGGAAAACUCAGAAAAAUAUGAGAAAAUAUGGGUUAGAAGCGUAUCAAAACAAGCUUUCCAACAAGUGCAAUAUCACUCGAAACGGAGGUCGGACGGUGGAGAAAACUGAGAUAUACUGCGCUGCCCCGGUGCCGUAAAACGGGUGCAGAAACUUUGGAACUCGAAAAGUCCACCUUAAAGGCCGAAUUUUAGGGUCAAAGUGCAGGGCAACGCCCUGGAUAUUUCCUGAUGCGCUUCGUCAUGAGCUUUCCAAAAAGUCCAAGAACGUCCAAAUCUGAGUUGGUAGGCAAAAGAUAUGUCCGUUUUACUGAACACGGCUCAAACCCACCCGAAACUAAAAUUCUAUUCGGACUCGGGUCCGAAACUGACUCGAACUCUUUCUCUUUUUUUUCGUUUUUUUUUCUUUCUUUCUUCCUUUUUUUUUUCUUUCCCUUCUUUUUUUUCACAACUUUCCGAACAACUUGAUCUCUAAACAAAAUUCGAUCUAUUAUGAAACACUUUCCAAAAGCACUCUUGAUUGGACUCGGACUCGAACUCGCGGCUGAAAACUAUAACUUCCCGACUCGAUGUAGGACUGGAAGAAGGACUCGCUGUAGGACUGGAAGAAGGACUCGGUGUAGGACUUGAAGAGGGACUCGGUGUAGGACUCGAAGAGGGACUCGGUGGAAGAUAUGGUGGCGGUGGAAGAUUAUGGCGGUGGUGUGGCAGGAAGUUUGGCGGCGGAAUAUUGAUGAAGGAAACCUGCGUCACACGAAGAACAAGAAAACCAAAAGCAAGUUCGACCUAGUAGAAAAAAAUCUGAAAAACGAUCCAAUCUAAUCUAGCAACUCGACACGAUUAAUGCAGCAAAGAUUCAACAAUGCAAAUACUAAUGUGAAAAUUGCAAGGCUCAGAUUGGUUCUAGGACAAGGGAACUAAUUCUAAUUUUUGUUUGGCUUUUUCUGGACGAUAGGUAAAAACAGAUCUAAACUACGGAUAAACUGGAAAAAUCUCACCGAGCAACCUUAAGCUCUGAUACCACGUGAUAGCCUCAAGCGUGUCCCGAUCUUUUGAUGAGAUACCUAAUUAACGAUUUGGUAGGAGGUGACGUUCACGAUCCGACUACAACCUAGGAGGCAGCGCCUUAGCGAUCGAUACACCAACUCCAGAAGGUUAUUGAUCCCGCGGGGGCACGAUCAACCUGACCACGAAGGUCUUUGUUCCUGCAAGCAAUCGAAGAACAAGCAAGAACAAGAUGAAAAGCAAUAUGAAAUUGCGAAUAGGAGAUAUGAAGGUUCACGAAUCUGAAUACUCAAUAUAGUUGGAGUCUUGAUGACGGUAAAACAGGUGGUCUAACCGACACACGCGAUUACACGAAAGUAGGAAAGGCUAAACUUUAUCUAAUCAAAACCCAAGGCUCCAUGGGGGGGCUCAUGGGGUAUAAAUAGGAGGGGAACUAGGUGGUUUUCGGACAGGCCCUUGAGGGACUCCGAAACGGCCUAGGAAUCCUCUUAAAACACAACGAAAACAUCUAAAAAUUGGCUGGACCCUAUUAUAUGGCCUUAGGCCCAAUAAAGCAAGGUUAUAACUCUCAUCUUUGGCCCAUAGAUACCCAUUGGAGGGAGAAUCCUCCACUUGGCCGAAAUCCCAUUGAUGAAGAGGAUGCGGCCUUCUUCUCAUCUCUCGUUAUGGCGGUUUCAAUGUUCUGAAAUCAUCACUUGAGCUAGCUCCCGCCACCUUGCUGCCACCUCCAUGGUUUGCUGUCCAACGCUGAUCCUUGAGGUGCAAGCUAGGUCCUUCAUUCCUAAAACACAUAAAAGAACCCAUCUUAGGCAGCAGCAUAUUCUCAUUAAUAUUAAAUGAAGUACCGAGGAACGAAAGUACCUGAUAAUUUAGUUGUCGUGCACGAGCUCUAGUAAUUGGUCCGUGUAUCUCCGGUACUUGAGGUGUAUGUGCUGUAGGGGCUGUGGUUGUAUCAUUAGUUGGGAUGUCCUCAUCACCGAUUUACCCUGAUUGUCCGUCCUAGCGAGGGACCAUGCCUAGCGAGUCCGUACAACUGGUCUACUCUUGUUUCGCUUCGAUGAGUAGGUUUGUUUGGUGUGCUCAUCCUAGUACCUCAAAUGGACACGUUCCGGAUCAAAGUAUAGCACCGACUCUGAUUUGGCCGGCUUGCCCGUCCUAGCGAGGGACCAUGCCUAGCGAGUCCGUACAACUGGUCUACUCUUGUUUCGCUUCUAUCAAUUGGUUUGUUAGGUGUGCUCAUCCUCGUAGCUCAAAUUGACACGUUCCGGAUCAAAGUUUAGCACCGACUCUGAUUUGGUCGGCUUGCCCGUCCUAGCGAGGGACCAUGCCUAGCGAGUCCGUACAACUGGUCUACUCUUGUUUCGCUUCGAUGAGUAGGUUUGUUUGGUGAGCUCAUCCUAGUACCUCAAAUGGACACGUUCCGGAUCAAAUUUUAGCACCGACUCGGAUUUGGCCGGAAUGUCCGUCCUCGUGAGGGACCAUGCCUAGCGAGUCCGUACAAGUGGUCUAGUCUUGUUUCGCUUCGAUGAGUAGGUUUGUAUGGUGUGCUCAUCCUAGUACCUCAAAUGGCCACGUUCCGGAUCAAAGCUUAGCACCGACUCCGAUUUACCCGGAUUGUCCGUCCUAGUGAGGGACCAUGCCUAGCGAGUCCGUAGAAGUGGUCUAGUCUUGUUUCGCUUCAAUAAGUAGGUUUGUUCGGUGUGCUCAUCCUAAUACCUCAAAUGGACACGUUCGGGAUCAAAGUUUACCACCGACUCCGAUUUGGCCGGAUUGUCUGUCUUAGGGAGGUACCAUGCCAAGCGAAUCCGUACAAGUGGUCUAGUCUUGUUUCGCUUCGAUCAAUUGGUUUGUUAGGUGUGCUCAUCGUAGUACCUCACAUAGACACGUUCCGGAACAAAGAUUAGCACCGACUCCGAUUUUGCCGGGUUGUCCGUCCUAGUGAGGGACCAUGCCUAGCGAGUUCGUACAAGUGGUCUAGUCUUGUGUCGCUUCCAUAAUUAGGUUUGUUUGGUGUGCUCAUCCUAAUACCUCAAAUGGACACGUUCCGGAACAAAGUUUAGCACCGAGUCCGAUUUACCCUGAUUGUCCGUCCUAGCGAGGGACCAUGCCUAGCGAGUCCGUACAAGUGGUCUACUCUUGUUUCGCUUCGAUGAGUAGGUUUGUUUGGUGUGCUCAUCCUAGUACCUCAAAUGGACACGUUCCGGAUCAAAGUUUAGCACCGACUCCGAUUCACCCGGAUUGUCCAUCCUAGUGAGGGACCAUGCCUAGCGAGUCCGUACAAGUGGUCUAGUCUUGUUUCGCUUCUAUCAAUUGGUUUGUUAGGUGUGCUCAUCCUAGUACCUCAAAUGGACACGUUCCGGAACAAAGUUUAGCACCGACUCCGAUUUACCCGGAUUGUCCGUCUGACGGAGGGACCAUGCCUAUCGAGUCCGUACAAGUGGUCUAGUCUUGUUUCGCUUCGAUGAGUAGGUUUGUUUGGUGUGCUCAUCCUAGUACCUCAAAUGGACACGUUCCGGAACAAAGUUUAGCACCUAGUCCGAUUUACCCUGAUUGUCCGUCCUAGCGAGGGACCAUGCCUAGCGAGUCCGUACAAGUGGUCUACUCUUGUUUCGCUUCGAUGAGUAGGUUUGUUUGGUGUGCUCAUCCUAGUACCCCAAAUGGACACGUUCCGGAUCAAAGUUUAGCACCGACUUCGAUUCACCCGGAUUGUCCGUCCUAGGGAGGGACCAUGCCUAGCGAGUCCGUACAAGUGGUCUAGUCUUGUUUCGCUUCGAUGAGUACGUUUGUUUUGGGUGCUCAUCCUCGUAGCUCAAAUGGACACGUUCCGGAUCAAAGCAUAGCACCGAUUCCGAUUUACCCGGAUUGUCCGUCCUACGGAGGGACCAUGCCUAUCGAGUCCGUACAAGUGGUCUAGUCUUGUUUCGUUCGAUGAGUAGCUUUGUUUGGUGUGCUCAUCCUAGUACCUCAAAUGGACACGUUCCGGAUCAAAGUUUAGCACCGACUCCGAUUCACCCGGAAUUUCCGUCCUAGGGAGGGACCAUGCCUAGCGAGUCCGUACAAGUGGUCUAGUCUUGUUUCGCUUCGAUCAAUUGGUUUGUUAGGUGUGCUCAUCGUAGUACCUCAGAUAGACACGUUCCGGAACAAAGUUUAGCACCGACUCCGAUUUUGCCGGAUUGUCCGUCCUAGUGAGGGACCAUGCCUAGCGAGUCCGUACAAGUGGUCUAGUCUUGUUUCGCUUCCAUAAGUAGGUUUCUUUGGUGUGCUCAUCCUAAUACCUCAAAUGGACACGUUCGGGAUCAAAGUUUAGCACCGACUCCGAUUUGGCCGGAUUGUCCGUCGUAGUAAGGGACCAUGCCUAGCGGGUCCGUAUAAGUGGUCUAGUCUUGUUUCGCUUCAAUAAGUAGGUUUGUUUGGUGUGCUCAUCCUAGUACCUCAAAUGGACACGUUCCGGAUCAAAGUUUAGCACCGACUCCGAUUCACCCGGAUUGUCCCUCCUAGUGAGGGACCAUGCCUAGCGAGUCCGUACAAGUGGUCUAGUCUUGUUUCGCUUCGAUGAGUAGGUUUGUUUGGUGUGCUCAUCCUAGUACAUCAAAUGGACACGUUCCGGAACAAAGUUUAGCACCGACUCCGAUUUUGCCGGAUUGUCCGUCGUAGGGAGGGACCAUGCCUAGCGAGUCCGUACAAGUGAUCUAGUCUUGUUUCGCUUCGAUCAGUAGGUUUGUAUGGUGUGCUCAUCCGAGUACCUCAAAUGGCCACGUUCCGGAUCAAAGCUUAGCACCGACUCCGAUUUACCCGGAUUGUCCGUCCUAGUGAGGGACCAUGCCUAGCGAGUCCGUAGAAGUGGUCUAGUCUUGUUUCGCUUCAAUAAGUAGGUUUGUUCGGUGUGCUCAUCCUAAUACCUCAAAUGGACACGUUCGGGAUCAAAGUUUACCACCGACUCCGAUUUGGCCGGAUUGUCUGUCUUAGGGAGGUACCAUGCCAAGCGAAUCCGUACAAGUGGUCUAGUCUUGUUUCGCUUCGAUCAAUUGGUUUGUUAGGUGUGCUCAUCGUAGUACCUCACAUAGACACGUUCCGGAACAAAGAUUAGCACCGACUCCGAUUUUGCCGGGUUGUCCGUCCUAGUGAGGGACCAUGCCUAGCGAGUUCGUACAAGUGGUCUAGUCUUGUGUCGCUUCCAUAAUUAGGUUUGUUUGGUGUGCUCAUCCUAAUACCUCAAAUGGACACCUUCGGGAUCAAAGUUUAGCACCGACUCCGAUUUGGCCGGAUUGUCCGUCGUAGUGAGGGACCAUGCCUAGCGGGUCCGUAUAAGUGGUCUAGUCUUGUUUCGCUUCAAUAAGUAGGUUUGUUUGGUGUGCUCAUCCUAGUAGCUCAAAUGGACACGUUCCAGAUCAAAGUUUAGCACCGACUCCGAUUUACCCGGAUUGUCCGUCUGACGGAGGGACCAUGCCUAUCGAGUCCGUACAAGUGGUCUAGUCUUGUUUCGCUUCGAUGAGUAGGUUUGUUUGGUGUGCUCAUCCUAGUACCUCAAAUGGACACGUUCCGGAACAAAGUUUAGCACCUAGUCCGAUUUAACCUGAUUGUCCGUCCUAGCGAGGGACCAUGCCUAGCGAGUCCGUACAAGUGGUCUACUCUUGUUUCGCUUCGAUGAGUAGGUUUGUUUGGUGUGCUCAUCCUAGUACCCCAAAUGGACACGUUCCGGAUCAAAGUUUAGCACCGACUUCGAUUCACCCGGAUUGUCCGUCCUAGGGAGGGACCAUGCCUAGCGAGUCCGUACAAGUGGUCUAGUCUUGUUUCGCUUCGAUGAGUACGUUUGUUUUGGGUGCUCAUCCUCGUAGCUCAAAUGGACACGUUCCGGAUCAAAGCUUAGCACCGAUUCCGAUUUACCCGGAUUGUCCGUCCUACGGAGGGACCAUGCCUAUCGAGUCCGUACAAGUGGUCUAGUCUUGUUUCGUUCGAUGAGUAGCUUUGUUUGGUGUGCUCAUCCUAGUACCUCAAAUGGACACGUUCCGGAUCAAAGUUUAGCACCGACUCCGAUUCACCCGGAAUUUCCGUCCUAGGGAGGGACCAUGCCUAGCGAGUCCGUACAAGUGGUCUAGUCUUGUUUCGCUUCGAUCAAUUGGUUUGUUAGGUGUGCUCAUCGUAGUACCUCAGAUAGACACGUUCCGGAACAAAGUUUAGCACCGACUCCGAUUUUGCCGGAUUGUCCGUCCUAGUGAGGGACCAUGCCUAGCGAGUCCGUACAAGUGGUCUAGUCUUGUUUCGCUUCCAUAAGUAGGUUUCUUUGGUGUGCUCAUCCUAAUACCUCAAAUGGACACGUUCGGGAUCAAAGUUUAGCACCGACUCCGAUUUGGCCGGAUUGUCCGUCGUAGUAAGGGACCAUGCCUAGCGGGUCCGUAUAAGUGGUCUAGUCUUGUUUCGCUUCAAUAAGUAGGUUUGUUUGGUGUGCUCAUCCUAGUACCUCAAAUGGACACGUUCCGGAUCAAAGUUUAGCACCGACUCCGAUUCACCCGGAUUGUCCCUCCUAGUGAGGGACCAUGCCUAGCGAGUCCGUACAAGUGGUCUAGUCUUGUUUCGCUUCGAUGAGUAGGUUUGUUUGGUGUGCUCAUCCUAGUACAUCAAAUGGACACGUUCCGGAACAAAGUUUAGCACCGACUCCGAUUUUGCCGGAUUGUCCGUCGUAGGGAGGGACCAUGCCUAGCGAGUCCGUACAAGUGAUCUAGUCUUGUUUCGCUUCGAUCAGUAGGUUUGUAUGGUGUGCUCAUCCGAGUACCUCAAAUGGCCACGUUCCGGAUCAAAGCUUAGCACCGACUCCGAUUUACCCGGAUUGUCCGUCCUAGUGAGGGACCAUGCCUAGCGAGUCCGUAGAAGUGGUCUAGUCUUGUUUCGCUUCAAUAAGUAGGUUUGUUCGGUGUGCUCAUCCUAAUACCUCAAAUGGACACGUUCGGGAUCAAAGUUUACCACCGACUCCGAUUUGGCCGGAUUGUCUGUCUUAGGGAGGUACCAUGCCAAGCGAAUCCGUACAAGUGGUCUAGUCUUGUUUCGCUUCGAUCAAUUGGUUUGUUAGGUGUGCUCAUCGUAGUACCUCACAUAGACACGUUCCGGAACAAAGAUUAGCACCGACUCCGAUUUUGCCGGGUUGUCCGUCCUAGUGAGGGACCAUGCCUAGCGAGUUCGUACAAGUGGUCUAGUCUUGUGUCGCUUCCAUAAUUAGGUUUGUUUGGUGUGCUCAUCCUAAUACCUCAAAUGGACACAUUCGGGAUCAAAGUUUAGCACCGACUCCGAUUUGGCCGGAUUGUCCGUCGUAGUGAGGGACCAUGCCUAGCGGGUCCGUAUAAGUGGUCUAGUCUUGUUUCGCUUCAAUAAGUAGGUUUGUUUGGUGUGCUCAUCCUAGUAGCUCAAAUGGACACGUUCCAGAUCAAAGUUUAGCACCGACUCCGAUUUACCCGGAUUGUCCGUCUGACGGAGGGACCAUGCCUAUCGAGUCCGUACAAGUGGUCUAGUCUUGUUUCGCUUCGAUGAGUAGGUUUGUUUGGUGUGCUCAUCCUAGUACCUCAAAUGGACACGUUCCGGAACAAAGUUUAGCACCUAGUCCGAUUUAACCUGAUUGUCCGUCCUAGCGAGGGACCAUGCCUAGCGAGUCCGUACAAGUGGUCUACUCUUGUUUCGCUUCGAUGAGUAGGUUUGUUUGGUGUGCUCAUCCUAGUACCCCAAAUGGACACGUUCCGGAUCAAAGUUUAGCACCGACUUCGAUUCACCCGGAUUGUCCGUCCUAGGGAGGGACCAUGCCUAGCGAGUCCGUACAAGUGGUCUAGUCUUGUUUCGCUUCGAUGAGUACGUUUGUUUUGGGUGCUCAUCCUCGUAGCUCAAAUGGACACGUUCCGGAUCAAAGCUUAGCACCGAUUCCGAUUUACCCGGAUUGUCCGUCCUACGGAGGGACCAUGCCUAUCGAGUCCGUACAAGUGGUCUAGUCUUGUUUCGUUCGAUGAGUAGCUUUGUUUGGUGUGCUCAUCCUAGUACCUCAAAUGGACACGUUCCGGAUCAAAGUUUAGCACCGACUCCGAUUCACCCGGAAUUUCCGUCCUAGGGAGGGACCAUGCCUAGCGAGUCCGUACAAGUGGUCUAGUCUUGUUUCGCUUCGAUCAAUUGGUUUGUUAGGUGUGCUCAUCGUAGUACCUCAGAUAGACACGUUCCGGAACAAAGUUUAGCACCGACUCCGAUUUUGCCGGAUUGUCCGUCCUAGUGAGGGACCAUGCCUAGCGAGUCCGUACAAGUGGUCUAGUCUUGUUUCGCUUCCAUAAGUAGGUUUCUUUGGUGUGCUCAUCCUAAUACCUCAAAUGGACACGUUCGGGAUCAAAGUUUAGCACCGACUCCGAUUUGGCCGGAUUGUCCGUCGUAGUAAGGGACCAUGCCUAGCGGGUCCGUAUAAGUGGUCUAGUCUUGUUUCGCUUCAAUAAGUAGGUUUGUUUGGUGUGCUCAUCCUAGUACCUCAAAUGGACACGUUCCGGAACAAAGUUUAGCACCUAGUCCGAUUUACCCUGAUUGUCCGUCCUAGCGAGGGACCAUGCCUAGCGAGUCCGUACAAGUGGUCUAGUCUUGUUUCGCUUCGAUCAAUUGGUUUGUUAGGUGUGCUCAUCGUAGUACCUCAGAUAGACACGUUCCGGAUCAAAGUUUAGCACCGACUCUGAUUUGGCCGGCUUGUCCGUCCUAGCGAGGGACCAUGCCUAGCGAGUCCGUACAACUGGUCUACUCUUGUUUCGCUUCGAUGAGUAGGUUUGUUUGGUGAGCUCAUCCUAGUACCUCAAAUGGACACGUUCCGGAUCAAAUUUGAGCACCGACUCGGAUUUGGCCGGAAUGUCCGUCCUAGUGAUGGACCAUGCCUAGCAAGUCCGUACAAGUGGUCUAGUCUUGUUUCGCUUCGAUGAGUAGGUUUGUUUGGUGUGCUCAUCCUAGUACCUCAAAUGGACACGUUCCGGAACAAAGUUUAGCACCGACUCCGAUUUUGCCGGAUUGUCCGUCGUAGGGAGGGACCAUGCCUAGCGAGUCCGUACAAGUGGUCUAGUCUUGUUUCGCUUCGAUCAGUAGGUUUGUAUGGUGUGCUCAUCCUAGUACCUCAAAUGGCCACGUUCCGGAUCAAAGCUUAGCACCGACUCCGAUUUACCCGGAUUGUCCGUCCUAGUGAGGGACCAUGCCUAGCAAGUGGUCUAGUCUUGUUUCGCUUCAAUAAGUAGGUUUGUUUGGUGUGCUCAUCCUAAUACCUCAAAUGGACACGUUCGGGAUCAAAGUUUAGCACCGACUCCGAUUUGGCCGGAUUGUCUGUCUUAGGGACGUACCAUGCCUAGCGAGUUCGUACAAGUGGUCUAGUCUUGUUUCGCUUCGAUCAAUUGGUUUGUUAGGUGUGCUCAUCGUAGUACCUCAAAUAGACACGUUCCGGAACAAAGUUUAGCACCGACUCCGAUUUUGCCGGAUUGUCCGUCCUAGUGAGGGACCAUGCCUAGCGAGUCCGUACAAGUGGUCUAGUCUUGUUUCGCUUCCAUAAGUAGGUUUCUUUGGUGUGCUCAUCCUAAUACCUCAAAUGGACACGUUCGGGAUCAAAGUUUAGCACCGACUCCGAUUUGGCCGGAUUGUCCGUCGUAGUAAGGGACCAUGCCUAGCGGGUCCGUAUAAGUGGUCUAGUCUUGUUUCGCUUCAAUAAGUAGGUUUGUUUGGUGUGCUCAUCCUAGUAGCUCAAAUGGACACGUUCCGGAUCAAAAUUUAGCACCGACUCCGAUUUACCCGGAUUGUCCGUCCGACGGAGGGACCAUGCCUAUCGAGUCCGUACAAGUGGUCUAGUCUUGUUUCGUUCGAUGAGUAGGUUUGUUUGGUGUGCUCAUCCUAGUACCUCAAAUGGACACGUUCCGGAACAAAGUUUAGCACCGAGUCCGAUUUACCCUGAUUGUCCGUCCUAGCGAGGGACCAUGCCUAGCGAGUCCGUACAAGUGGUCUACUCUUGUUUCGCUUCGAUGAGUAGGUUUGUUUGGUGUGCUCAUCCUAGUACCUCAAAUGGACACGUUCCGGAUCAAAGUUUAGCACCGACUCCGAUUCACCCGGAUUGUCCAUCCUAGUGAGGGACCAUGCCUAGCGAGUCCGUACAAGUGGUCUAGUCUUGUUUCGCUUCUAUCAAUUGGUUUGUUAGGUGUGCUCAUCCUCGUAGCUCAAAUUGACACGUUCCGGAUCAAAGUUUAGCACCGACUCCGAUUUGGCCGGAUUGUCCGUCGUAGUGAGGGACCAUGCCUUGCGGGUCCGUAUAAGUGGUCUAGUCUUGUUUCGCUUCAAUAAGUAGGUUCGUUUGGUGUGCUCAUCCUCGUAGCUCAAAUGGACACGUUCCGGAUGAAAGCUUAGCACCGACUCCGAUUUACCCGGAUUGUCCGUCCUACGGAGGGACCAUGCCUAUCGAGUCCGUACAAGUGGUCUAGUCUUGUUUCGCUUCGAUGAGUAGAUUUGUUUGGUGUGCUCAUCCUAGUACCUCAAAUGGACACGUUCCGGAUCAAAGUUUAGCACCGACUCCGAUUCACCCGGAUUGUCCGUCCUAGGGAGGGACCAUGCCUAGCGAGUCCGUACAACUGGUCUACUCUUGUUUCGCUUCGAUGAGUAGGUUUGUUUGGUGUGCUCAUCCUAGUACCUCAAAUGGACACGUUCCGGAUCAAAGUAAAGCACCGACUCUGAUUUGGCCGGCUUGCCCGUCCUAGCGAGGGACCAUGCCUAGCGAGUCCGUACAACUGGUCUACUCUUGUUUCGCUUCGAUGAGUAGGUUUGUUUGGUGAGCUCAUCCUAGUACCUCAAAUGGACACGUUCCGGAUCAAAUUUUAGCACCGACUCGGAUUUGGCCGGAAUGUCCGUCCUAGUGAGGGACCAUGCCUAGCGAGUCCGUACAAGUGGUCUAGUCUUGUUUCGCGUCGAUGAGUAGGUUUGUUUGGCGUGCUCAUCCUAGUACAUCAAAUGGACACGUUCCGGAACAUAGUUUAGCACCGACUCCGAUUUUGCCGGAUUGUCCGUCGUAGGGAGGGACCAUGCCUAGCGAGUCCGUACAAGUGAUCUAGUCUUGUUUCGCUUCGAUCAGUAGGUUUGUAUGGUGUGCUCAUCCGAGUACCUCAAAUGGCCACGUUCCGGAUCAAAGUUUAGCACCGACUCCGAUUUGGCCGGAUUGUCCGUCGUAGUGAGGGACCAUGCCUAGCGGGUCCGUAUAAGUGGUCUAGUCUUGUUUCGCUUCAAUAAGUAGGUUCGUUUGGUGUGCUCAUCCUCGUAGCUCAAAUGGACACGUUCCGGAUGAAAGCUUAGCACCGACUCCGAUUUACCCGGAUUGUCCGUCCUACGGAGGGACCAUGCCUAUCGAGUCCGUACAAGUGGUCUAGUCUUGUUUCGCUUCGAUGAGUAGAUUUGUUUGGUGUGCUCAUCCUAGUACCUCAAAUGGACACGUUCCGGAUCAAAGUUUAGCACCGACUCCGAUUCACCCGGAUUGUCCGUCCUAGGGAGGGACCAUGCCUAGCGAGUCCGUACAACUGGUCUACUCUUGUUUCGCUUCGAUGAGUAGGUUUGUUUGGUGUGCUCAUCCUAGUACCUCAAAUGGACACGUUCCGGAUCAAAGUAAAGCACCGACUCUGAUUUGGCCGGCUUGCCCGUCCUAGCGAGGGACCAUGCCUAGCGAGUCCGUACAACUGGUCUACUCUUGUUUCGCUUCGAUGAGUAGGUUUGUUUGGUGAGCUCAUCCUAGUACCUCAAAUGGACACGUUCCGGAUCAAAGUUUAGCACCGACUCCGAUUCACCCGGAUUGUCCAUCCUAGUGAGGGACCAUGCCUAGCGAGUCCGUACAAGUGGUCUAGUCUUGUUUCGCUUCUAUCAAUUGGUUUGUUAGGUGUGCUCAUCCUCGUAGCUCAAAUUGACACGUUCCGGAUCAAAGUUUAGCACCGACUCCGAUUUGGCCGGAUUGUCCGUCGUAGUGAGGGACCAUGCCUAGCGGGUCCGUAUAAGUGGUCUAGUCUUGUUUCGCUUCAAUAAGUAGGUUCGUUUGGUGUGCUCAUCCUCGUAGCUCAAAGGGACACGUUCCGGAUGAAAGCUUAGCACCGACUCCGAUUUACCCGGAUUGUCCGUCCUACGGAGGGACCAUGCCUAUCGAGUCCGUACAAGUGGUCUAGUCUUGUUUCGCUUCGAUGAGUAGAUUUGUUUGGUGUGCUCAUCCUAGUACCUCAAAUGGACACGUUCCGGAUCAAAGUUUAGCACCGACUCCGAUUCACCCGGAUUGUCCGUCCUAGGGAGGGACCAUGCCUAGCGAGUCCGUACAACUGGUCUACUCUUGUUUCGCUUCGAUGAGUAGGUUUGUUUGGUGUGCUCAUCCUAGUACCUCAAAUGGACACGUUCCGGAUCAAAGUAUAGCACCGACUCUGAUUUGGCCGGCUUGCCCGUCCUAGCGAGGGACCAUGCCUAGCGAGUCCGUACAACUGGUCUACUCUUGUUUCGCUUCGAUGAGUAGGUUUGUUUGGUGAGCUCAUCCUAGUACCUCAAAUGGACACGUUCCGGAUCAAAUUUUAGCACUGACUCCGUAUUACCCGGAUUGUCCGUCCUAGGGACGGACCAUGCCUAGCGAGUCCGUACAAGUGGUCUAGUCUUGUUUCGCUUCGAUGAGUAGGUUUGUUCGGUGUGCUCAUCCUAAUACCUCAAAUGGACACGUUCGGGAUCAAAGUUUACCACCGACUCCGAUUUGGCCGGAUUGUCUGUCUUAGGGAGGUACCAUGCCAAGCGAAUCCGUACAAGUGGUCUAGUCUUGUUUCGCUUCGAUCAAUUGGUUUGUUAGGUGUGCUCAUCGUAGUACCUCACAUAGACACGUUCCGGAACAAAGAUUAGCACCGACUCCGAUUUUGCCGGGUUGUCCGUCCUAGUGAGGGACCAUGCCUAGCGAGUCCGUACAAGUGGUCUAGUCUUGUUUCGCUUCCAUAAUUAGGUUUGUUUGGUGUGCUCAUCCUAAUACCUCAAAUGGACACAUUCGGGAUCAAAGUUUAGCACCGACUCCGAUUUGGCCGGAUUGUCCGUCGUAGUGAGGGACCAUGCCUAGCGGGUCCGUAUAAGUGGUCUAGUCUUGUUUCGCUUCAAUAAGUAGGUUUGUUUGGUGUGCUCAUCCUAGUAGCUCAAAUGGACACGUUCCAGAUCAAAGUUUAGCACCGACUCCGAUUUACCCGGAUUGUCCGUCUGACGGAGGGACCAUGCCUAUCGAGUCCGUACAAGUGGUCUAGUCUUGUUUCGCUUCGAUGAGUAGGUUUGUUUGGUGUGCUCAUCCUAGUACCUCAAAUGGACACGUUCCGGAACAAAGUUUAGCACCUAGUCCGAUUUACCCUGAUUGUCCGUCCUAGCGAGGGACCAUGCCUAGCGAGUCCGUACAAGUGGUCUACUCUUGUUUCGCUUCGAUGAGUACGUUUGUUUUGGGUGCUCAUCCUCGUAGCUCAAAUGGACACGUUCCGGAUCAAAGUUUAGCACCGACUUCGAUUCACCCGGAUUGUCCGUCCUAGGGAGGGACCAUGCCUAGCGAGUCCGUACAAGUGGUCUACUCUUGUUUCGCUUCGAUGAGUACGUUUGUUUUGGGUGCUCAUCCUCGUAGCUCAAAUGGACACGUUCCGGAUCAAAGCUUAGCACCGAUUCCGAUUUACCCGGAUUGUCCGUCCUACGGAGGGACCAUGCCUAUCGAGUCCGUACAAGUGGUCUAGUCUUGUUUCGUUCGAUGAGUAGCUUUGUUUGGUGUGCUCAUCCUAGUACCUCAAAUGGACACAUUCCGGAUCAAAGUUUAGCACCGACUCCGAUUCACCCGGAAUUUCCGUCCUAGGGAGGGACCAUGCCUAGCGAGUCCGUACAAGUGGUCUAGUCUUGUUUCGCUUCGAUCAAUUGGUUUGUUAGGUGUGCUCAUCGUAGUACCUCAGAUAGACACGUUCCGGAACAAAGUUUAGCACCGACUCCGAUUUUGCCGGAUUGUCCGUCCUAGUGAGGGACCAUGCCUAGCGAGUCCGUACAAGUGGUCUAUUCUUGUUUCGCUUCAAUAAGUAGGAUUGUUUGGUGUGCUCAUCCUAAUACCUCAAAUGGACACGUUCGGGAUCAAAGUUUAGCACCGACUCCGAUUUGGCCGGAUUGUCCGUCGUAGUGAGGGACCGUGCCUAGCGGGUCCGUAUAAGUGGUCUAGUCUUGUUUCGAUUGGAUGAGUACGUACAAGUGGUCUAGUCUUGUUUCGCUUCGAUGAGUAGGUUUGUUUGGUGUGCUCUUCCUAGUACCUCAAAUGGACACGUUCCGGAACAAAGUUUAGCACCGACUCCGUAUUACCCGGAUUGUCCGUCCUAGGGACGGACCAUGCCUAGCGAGUCCGUGCAAGUGGUCUAGUCUUGUUUCGCUUCGAUGAGUAGGUUUGUUUGGUGUGCUCAUCCUACUACCUCAAAUGGACACGUUCGGGAUCAAAGUUUAGCACCGACUCCGAUUUGGCCGGAUUGUCCGUCGUAGUGAGGGACCAUGCCUAACGGGUCCGUAUAAGUGGUCUAGUCUUGUUUCGCUUCAAUAAGUAGGUUUGUUUGGUGUGAAAAUGCUCGUAGCUCAAAUGGACACGUUCCGGAUCAAAAUUUAGCACCGACUCCGAUUUAUCCGGAUUGUCCGUCCUACGGAGGGACCAUGCCUAUCGAGUCCGUACAAGUGGUCUAGUCUUGUUUCGCUUCGAUGAGUAGGUUUGUUUGGUGUGCUCAUCCUAGUACCUCAAAUGGACACGUUCCGGAACAAAGUUUAGCACCGAGUCCGAUUUACCCUGAUUGUCCGUCCUAGCGAGGGACCAUGCCUAGCGAGUCCGUACAACUGGUCUACUCUUGUUUCGCUUCGAUGAGUAGGUUUGUUUUGUGUGCUCAUCCUAGUACCUCAAAUGCACACGUUCCGGAUCAAAGUUUUGCACCGACUCCGAUUUACCCGGAUUGUCCGUCCUACGGAGUGACCAUGCCUAUCGAGUCCGUACAAGUGGUCUAGUCUUGUUUCGCUUUGAUGAGUAGGUUUGUUUGGUGUGCUCAUCCUAGUACCUCAAAUGGACACGUUCCGGAACAAAGUUUAGCACCGAGUCCGAUUUACCCUGAUUGUCCGUCCUAGCGAGGGACCAUGCCUAGCGAGUCCGUACAACUGGUCUACUCUUGUUUCGCUUCGAUGAGUAGGUUUGUUUUGUGUGCUCAUCCUAAUACCUCAAAUACACACGUUUCGGAUCAAAUUUUAGCACCGACUCGGAUUUGGCCGGAAUGUUCGUCCUAGUGGGGGACCAUGCCUAGCGACUCCGUACAAGUGGUCUAGGUUUGUUUCGCUUCGAUGAGUAGGUUUGUUUGGUGUGCUCAUCCUACUACCUCAAAUGGACACGUUCGGGAUCAAAGUUUAGCACCGACUCUGAUUUGGCCGGAUUGUCCGUCGUAGGGAGGGACCAUGCCUAGCGAGUCCGUAGAAGUGGUCUAGUCUUGUUUCGCUUCAAUAAGUAGGUUUGUUUGGUGUGCUCAUCCUAGUAGCUCAAAUGGACACAUUCCGGAUCAAAGUUUAGCACCGACUCCGAUUUACCCGGAUUGUCCGUCCUACGGAGGGACCAUGCCUAUCGAGUCCGUACAAGUGGUCUAGUCUUGUUUCGCUUCGAUGAGUAGGUUUGUUUGGUGUGCUCAUCCUAGGACCUCAAAUGGACACGUUCCGGAACAAAGUUUAGCACCGAGUCCGAUUUACCCUGAUUGUCCGUCCUAGCGAGGUACCAUGCCUAGCGAGUCCGUACAACUGGUCUGCUCUUGUUUCGCUUCGAUGAGUAGGUUUGUUUCGUGUGCUCAUCCUAGUACCUCAAAUGCACACGUUCCGGAUCAUAUUUUACCACCGACUCGGAUUUGGCCGGAAUGUCCGUCCUUGGGAGGGACCAUGCCUAGCGAGUCCGUACAACUGGUCUACUCUUGUUUCGCUUCGAUGAGUAGGUUUGUUUGGUGUGCUCAUCCUAGUACCUCAGAUGGACACGUUCCGGAUAAAAGUUUAGCACCGACUCCGAUUUGGCCGGAUUGUCCGUCGUAGUGAGGGACCGUGCCUAGCGGGUCCGUAUAAGUGGUCUAGUCUUGUUUCGCUUCAAUAAGUAGGUUUGUUUGGUGUGCUCAUGCUCGUAGCUCAAAUGGACACGUUCCGGAUCAAAGUUUAGCACCGACUCCGAUUUACCCGGAUUGUCCGUCCUACGGAGGGACCAUGUCUAUCGAGUCCGUACAAGUGGUCUCGUCUUGUUUCGCUUCGAUGAGUAGGUUUGUUUGGUGUGCUCAUCGUAGUACCUCAAAUGGACACGUUCCGGAACAAAGUUUAGCACCGACUCCGAUUUACCCGGAUUGUCCGUCCUACGGAGGGACCAUGCCUAUCGAGUCCGUACAAGUGGUCUAGUCUUGUUUCGUUUCGAUGAGUAGGUUUGUUUUGUGUGCUCAUCCUAGUACCUCAAAUGGACACGUUCCGGAACAAAGUUUAGCACCGACUCCGUAUUACCCGGAUUGUCCGUCCUAGGGACGGACCAUGCCUAGCGAGUCCGUACAAGUGGUCUAGUCUUGUUUCGCUUCGCUGAGUACGUUUGUUUGGUGUGCUCAUCCUAGUACCUCAAAUGGACACGUUCCGGAUCAAAGUUUAGCACCGACUCUGAUUUGGCCGGCUUGUCCGUCCUAGCGAGGGACCAUGCGUAGCGUGUCCGUACAACUGGUCUACUCUUGUUUCGCUUCGAUGAGUAGGUUUGUUUGUUGAGCUCAUCGUAGUACCUCAAAUGGACACGUUCCGGAUCAAAUUUUAGCACCGACUCUGAUUUGGCCGGCUUGUCCGUCCUAGCGAGGGACCAUGCGUAGCGUGUCCGUACAACUGGUCUACUCUUGUUUCGCUUCGAUGAGUAGGUUUGUUUGUUGAGCUCAUCGUAGUACCUCAAAUGGACACGUUCCGGAUCAAAUUUUAGCACCGACUCUGAUUUGGCCGGAUUGUCCGUCCUAGGGAGGGACCAUGCCUAGCGAGUCCGUACAAGUGGUCAAGUCUUGUUUCGCUUCGAUGAGUACGUUUGUGUUGUGUGCUCAUCCUCGUAGCUCAAAUGGACACGUUCCGGAUCAAAGUUUAGCACCGACUCCGAUUUACCCGGAUUGUCCGUCCUACGGAGGGACCAUGCCUAUCGAGUCCAUACAAGUGGUCUAGUCUUGUUUCGCUUCGAUGAGUAGGUUUGUUUGGUGUGCUCAUCCUAGUACCUCAAAUGGACACGUUCCGGAACAAAGUUUAGCACCGAGUCCGAUUUACCCUGAUUGUCCGUCCUAGCGAGGGACCAUGCCUAGCGAGUCCGUACAACUGGUCUACUCUUGUUUCGCUUCGAUGAGUAGGUUUGUUUCGUGUGCUCAUCCUAGUACCUCAAAUCCACACGUUCCGGAUCAAAUUUUAGCACCGACUCGGAUUUGGCCGGAAUGUCCGUCCUUGGGAGGGACCAUGCCUAGCGAGUCCGUACAACUAGUCUACUCUUGUUUCGCUUCGAUGAGUAGGUUUGUUUCGUGUGCUCAUCCUAGUACCUCAAAUGGACACGUUCCGGAUCAAAGUUUAGCACCGACUCCGAUUCACCCGGAUUGUCCGUCCUAGUGAGGGACCAUGCCUAGCGAGUCCGUACAAGUGGUCUAGUCUUGUUUCGCUUCGAUCAAUUGGUUUGUUAGGUGUGCUCAUCGUAGUACCUCAGAUAGACACGUUCCGGAACAAAGUUUAGCACCGACUCCGAUUUUGCCGGAUUGUCUGUCCUAGUGAGGGACCAUGCCUAGCGAGUCCGUACAAGUGGUCUAUUCUUGUUUCGCUUCAAUAAGUAGGUUUGUUUGGUGUCCUCAUCCUAAUACCUCAAAUGGACACGUUCGGGAUCAAAGUUUAGCACCGACUCCGAUUUGGCCGGAUUGUCCGUCGUAGUGAGGGACCGUGCCUAGCGGGUCCGUAUAAGUGGUCUAGUCUUGUUUCGCUUCAAUAAGUAGGUUUGUUUGGUGUGCUCAUCCUCGUAGCUCAAAUGGACACGUUCCGGAUCAAAGUUUAGCACCGACUCCGAUUUACCCGGAUUGUCCGUCCUAGUGAGGGACCAUGCCUAGCGAGUCCGUACAAGUGGUCUAGUCUUGUUUCGCUUCGAUGAGUAGGUUUGUUUGGUGUGCUCAUCCUAGUACCUCAAAUGGACACGUUCCGGAACAAAGUUUAGCACCGACUCCGAUUUAGCCGGAUUGUCCGACCUACGGAGGGACCAUGCCUAUCGAGUCCGUACAAGUGGUCUAGUCUUGUUUCGCUUCGAUGAGUAGGUUUGUUUGGUGUGCUCAUCCUAGUACCUCAAAUGGACACGUUCCGGAACAAAGUUUAGCACCGACUCCGUAUUACCCGGAUUGUCCGUCCUAGGAACGGACCAUGCCUAGCGAGUCCGUACAAGUGGUCUAGUCUUGUUUCGCUUCGAUGUGUACGUUUGUUUUGUGUGCUCAUCCUCGUAGCUCAAAUGGACACGUUCCGGAUCAAAGUUUAGCACCGACUCCGAUUUACCCGGAUUGUCCGUCCUACGGAGGGACCAUGCCUAUCGAGUCCGUACAAGUGGUCUAGUCUUGUUUCGCUUCGAUGAGUAGGUUUGUUUGGUGUGCUCAUCCUAGUACCUCAAAUGGACACGUUCCGGAACAAAGUUUAGCACCGAGUCCGAUUUACCCUGAUUGUCCGUCCUAGCGAGGGACCAUGCCUAGCGAGUCCGUACAACUGGUCUACUCUUGUUUCGCUUCGAUGAGUAGGUUUGUUUCGUGUGCUCAUCCUAGUACCUCAAAUGCACAUGUUCCGGAUCAAAUUUUAGCACCGACUCGGAUUUGGCCGGAAUGUCCGUCCUUGGGAGGGACCAUGCCUAGCGAGUCCGUACAACUGGUCUACUCUUGUUUCGCUUCGAUGAGUAGGUUUGUUUCGUGUGCUCAUCCUAGUACCUCAAAUGGACACGUUCCGGAUCAAAGUUUAGCACCGACUCCGAUUCACCCGGAUUGUCCGUCCUAGUGAGGGACCAUGCCUAGCGAGUCCGUACAAGUGGUCUAGUCUUGUUUCGCUUCGAUCAAUUGGUUUGUUAGGUGUGCUCAUCGUAGUACCUCAGAUAGACACGUUCCGGAACAAAGUUUAGCACCGACUCCGAUUUUGCCGGAUUGUCCGUCCUAGUGUGGGACCAUGCCUAGCGAGUCCGUACAAGUGGUCUAUUCUUGUUUCGCUUCAAUAAGUAGGUUUGUUUGGUGUGCUCAUCCUAAUACCUCAAAUGGACACGUUCGGGAUCAAAGUUUAGCACUGACUCCGAUUUGGCCGGAUUGUCCGUCGUAGUGAGGGACCGUGCCUAGCGGGUCCGUAUAAGUGGUCUAGUCUUGUUUCGCUUCAAUAAGUAGGUUUGUUUGGUGUGCUCAUCCUCGUAGCUCAAAUGGACACGUUCCGGAUCAAAGUUUAGCACCGACUCCGAUUUACCCGGAUUGUCCGUCCUAGUGAGGGACCAUGCCUAGCGAGUCCGUACAAGUGGUCUAGUCUUGUUUCGCUUCGAUGAGUAGGUUUGUUUGGUGUGCUCAUCCUAGUACCUCAAAUGGACACGUUCCGGAACAAAGUUUAGCACCGACUCCGUAUUACCCGGAUUGUCCGUCCUAGGGACGGACCAUGCCUAGCGAGUCCGUACAAUUGGUCUAGUCUUUUUUCGCGUCGAUGAGUACGUUUGUUUGGUGUGCUCAUCCUAGUAGCUCAAAUGGACACGUUCCGGAUCAAAGUUUAGCACCGACUCUGAUUUGGCCGGAUUGUCCGUCCUAGCGAGGGACCAUGCCUAGCGAGUCCGUACAAGUGGUCUAGUCUUGUUUCGCAUCGAUGAGUAGGUUUGUUUGGUGUGCUCAUCCUAGUACCUCAAAUGGACACGUUCCGGAUCAAAGUUUAGCACCGACUCUGAUUUGGCCGGCUUGUCCGUCCUAUCGAGGGACCAAGCGUAGCGAGUCCGUACAACUGGUCUACUCUUGUUUUGCUUCGAUGAGUAGGUUUGUUUGUUGAGCUCAUCGUAGUACCUCAAAUGGACACGUUCCGGAUCAAAUUUUAGCACCGACUCGGAUUUGGCCGGAUUGUCCGUCCUAGGGAGGGACCAUGCCUAGCGAGUCCGUACAAGUGGUCUAGUCUUGUUUCGCUUCGAUGUGUACGUUUGUUUUGUGUGCUCAUCCUCGUAGCUCAAAUGGACACGUUCCGGAUCAAAGUUUAGCACCGACUCCGAUUUACUCGGAUUGUCCGUCCUACGGAGCGACCAUGCCUAUCGAGUCCGUACAAGUGGUCUAGUCUUGUUUCGCUGCGAUGAGUAGGUUUGUUUGGUGUGCUCAUCCUAGUACCUCAAAUGGACACGUUCCGGAUCAAAGUUUAGCACCGACUCUGAUUUGGCCGGAUUGUCCGUCCUAGCGAGAGACAAUGCCUAGCGAGUCCGUACAAGUGGUCUAGUCUUGUUUCGCUUGGAUGAGUACGUUUGUUUUGUGUGCUCAUCCUCGUAGCUCAAAUGGACACGUUCCGGAUCAAAGUUUAGCGCCGACUCCGAUUUACCCGGAUUGUCCGUCCUACGGAGGGACCAUGCCUAUCGAGUCCGUACAAGUGGUCUAGUCUUGUUUCGCUUCGAUGAGUAGGUUUGUUUGGUGUGCUAAUCCUAGGACCUCAAAUGGACACGUUCCGGAUCAAAGUUUAGCACCGAGUCCGAUUUACCCUGAUUGUCCGUCCUAGCGAGGGACCAUGCCUAGCGAGUCCGUACAACUGGUCUGCUCUUGUUUCGCUUCGAUGAGUAUGUUUGUUUCGUGUGCUCAUCCUAGUACCUCAAAUGCACACGUUCCGGAUCAAAUUUUACCACCGACUCGGAUUUGGCCAGAAUGUCCGUCCUUGGGAGGGACCAUGCCUAGCGAGUCCGUACAACUUGUCUACUCUUGUUUCGCUUCGAUGAGUAGGUUUGUUUGGUGUGCUCAUCCUAGUACCUCAAAUGGACACGUUCCGGAUAAAAGUUUAGCACCGACUCCGAUUUGGCCGGAUUGUCCGUCGUAGUGAGGGACCGUGCCUAGCGGGUCCGUAUAAGUGGUCUAGUCUUGUUUCGCUUCAAUAAGUAGGUUUGUUUGGUGUGCUCAUCCUCGUAGCUCAAAUGGACACGUUCCGGAUCAAAGUUUAGCACCGACUCCGAUUUACCCGGAUUGUCCGUCCUACGGAGGGACCAUGUCUAUCGAGUCCGUACAAGUGGUCUAGUCUUGUUUCGCUUCGAUGAGUAGGUUUGUUUGGUGUGCUCAUCCUAGUACCUCAAAAGGACACGUUCCGGAACAAAGUUUAGCACCGACUCCGUAUUACCCGGAGUGUCCGUCCUAGGGACGGACCAUGCCUAGCGAGUCCGUACAAGUGGUCUAGUCUUGUUUCGCUUCGAUGAGUACGUUUGUUUGGUGUGCUCAUCCUAGUAGCUCAAAUGGACACGUUCCGGAUCAAAGUUUAGCACCGACUCUGAUUUGGCCGGAUUGUCCGUCCUAGCGAGGGACCAUGCCUAGCGAGUCCGUACAAGUGGUCUAGUCUUGUUUCGCUUCGAUGAGUAGGUUUGUUUGUUGUGCUCAUCCUAGUACCUCAAAUGGACACGUUCCGGAUCAAAGUUUAGCACCGACUCUGAUUUGGCCGGCUUGUCCGUCCUAGCGAGGGACCAUGCGUAGCGUGUCCGUACACCUGGUCUACUCUUGUUUCGCUUCGAUGAGUAGGUUUGUUUGGUGUGCUCAUCCUAGCACCUCAAAUGGACACGUUCCGGAUCAAAUUUUAGCACCGACUCGGAUUUGGCCGGAUUGUCCGUCCUAGGGAGGGACCAUGCCUAGCGAGUCCGUACAAGUGGUCUAGUCUUGUUUCGCUUCGAUGAGUACGUUUGUCUUGUGUGCUCAUCCUAGUACCUCAAAUGGACACGUUCCGGAACAAAGUUUAGCACCGACUCCGAUUUACCCGGAUUGUCCGUCCUACGGAGAGACCAUGCCUAUCGAGUCCGUACAAGUGGUCUAGUCUUGUUUCGUUCGAUGAGUAGGUUUGUUUGGUGUGCUCAUCCUAGUACCUCAAAUGGACACGUUCCGGAACAAAGUUUAGCACCGACUCCGUAUUACCCGGAUUGUCCGUCCUAGGGACGGACCAUGCCUAGCGAGUCCGUACAACAGGUCUAGUCUUGUUUCGCUUCGAUGAGUACGUUUGUUUGGUGUGCUCAUCCUAGUACCUCAAAUGCACACGUUCCGGAUCAAAUUUUACCACCGACUCGGAUUUGGCCAGAAUGUCCGUCCUUGGGAGGGACCAUGCCUAGCGAGUCCGUACAACUUGUCUACUCUUGUUUCGCUUCGAUGAGUAGGUUUGUUUGGUGUGCUCAUCCUAGUACCUCAAAUGGACACGUUCCGGAUAAAAGUUUAGCACCGACUCCGAUUUGGCCGGAUUGUCCGUCGUAGUGAGGGACCGUGCCUAGCGGGUCCGUAUAAGUGGUCUAGUCUUGUUUCGCUUCAAUAAGUAGGUUUGUUUGGUGUGCUCAUCCUCGUAGCUCAAAUGGACACGUUCCGGAUCAAAGUUUAGCACCGACUCCGAUUUACCCGGAUUGUCCGUCCUACGGAGGGACCAUGUCUAUCGAGUCCGUACAAGUGGUCUAGUCUUGUUUCGCUUCGAUGAGUAGGUUUGUUUGGUGUGCUCAUCCUAGUACCUCAAAUGGACACGUUCCGGAACAAAGUUUAGCACCGACUCCGUAUUACCCGGAUUGUCCGUCCUAGGGACGGACCAUGCCUAGCGAGUCCGUACAAGUGGUCUAGUCUUGUUUCGCUUCGAUGAGUACGUUUGUUUGGUGUGCUCAUCCUAGUACCUCAAAUGGACACGUUCCGGAUCAAAUUUUAGCACCGACUCGGAUUUGGCCGGAUUGUCCGUCCUAGGGAGGGACCAUGCCUAGCGAGUCCGUACAAGUGGUCUAGUCUUGUUUCGCUUCGAUGAGUACGUUUGUCUUGUGUGCUCAUCCUCGUAGCUCAAAUGGACACGUUCCGGAUCAAAGUUUAGCACCGACUCCGAUUUACCCGGAUUGUCCGUCCUACGGAGAGAUCAUGCCUAUCGAGUCCGUACAAGUGGUCUAGUCUUGUUUCGCUUCGAUGAGUAGGUUUGUUUGGUGUGCUCAUCCUAGGACCUCAAAUGGACACGUUCCGGAUCAAAGUUUAGCACCGAGUCCGAUUUACCCUGAUUGUCCGUCCUAGCGAGGGACCAUGCCUAGCGAGUCCGUACAACUGGUCUGCUCUUGUUUCGCUUCGAUGAGUAGGUUUGUUUCGUGUGCUCAUCCUAGUACCUCAAAUGCACACGUUCCGGAUCAAAUUUUAGCACCGACUCGGAUUUGGCCGGAAUGUCCGUCCUUGGGAGGGACCAUGCCUAGCGAGUCCGUACAACUGGUCUACUCUUGUUUCGCUUCGAUGAGUAGGUCUGUUUCGUGUGCUCAUCCUAGUACCUCAAAUGGACACGUUCCGGAUCAAAGUUUAGCACCGACUCCGAUUCACCCGGAUUGUCCGUCCUAGUGAGGGACCCUGCCUAGCGAGUCCGUACAAGUGGUCUAGUCUUGUUUCGCUUCGAUCAAUUGGUUUGUUAGGUGUGCUCAUCGUAGUACCUCAGAUAGACACGUUCCGGAACAAAGUUUAGCACCGACUCCGAUUUUGACGGAUUGUCCGUCCUAGUGAGGGACCAUGCCUAGCGAGUCCGUACAAGUGGUCUAGUCUUGUUUCGCUUCGAUGUGUACGUUUGUUUUGUGUGCUCAUCCUCGUAGCUCAAAUGGACACGUUCCGGAUCAAAGUUUAGCACCGACUCCGAUUUACCCGGAUUGUCCGUCCUACGGAGCGACCAUGCCUAUCGAGUCCGUACAAGUGGUCUAGUCUUGUUUCGCUUCGAUGAGUAGGUUUGUUUGGUGUGCUCAUCCUAGUACCUCAAAUGGACACGUUCCGGAUCAAAGUUUAGCACCGACUCUGAUUUGGCCGGAUUGUCCGUCCUAGCGAGGGACCAUGCCUAGCGAGUCCGUACAAGUGGUCUAGUCUUGUUUCGCUUGGAUUAGUACGUUUGUUUUGUGUGCUCAUCCUCGUAGCUCAAAUGGACACGUUCCGGAUCAAAGUUUAGCGCCGACUCCGAUUUAUCCGGAUUGUCCGUCCUACGGAGGGACCAUGCCUAUCGAGUCCGUACAAGUGGUCUAGUCUUGUUUCGCUUUGAUGAGUAGGUUUGUUUGGUGUGCUCAUCCUAGGACCUCAAAUGGACACGUUCCGGAUCAAAGUUUAGCACCGAGUCCGAUUUACCCUGAUUGUCCGUCCUAGCGAGGGACCAUGCCUAGCGAGUCCGUACAACUGGUCUGCUCUUGUUUCGCUUCGAUGAGUAGGUUUGUUUCGUGUGCUCAUCCUAGUACCUCAAAUGCACACGUUCCGGAUCAAAUUUUACCACCGACUCGGAUUUGGCCAGAAUGUCCGUCCUUGGGAGGGACCAUGCCUAGCGAGUCCGUACAACUUGUCUACUCUUGUUUCGCUUCGAUGAGUAGGUUUGUUUGGUGUGCUCAUCCUAGUACCUCAAAUGGACACGUUCCGGAUAAAAGUUUAGCACCGACUCCGAUUUGGCCGGAUUGUCCGUCGUAGUGAGGGACCGUGCCUAGCGGGUCCGUAUAAGUGGUCUAGUCUUGUUUCGCUUCAAUAAGUAGGUUUGUUUGGUGUGCUCAUCCUCGUAGCUCAAAUGGACACGUUCCGGAUCAAAGUUUAGCACCGACUCCGAUUUACCCGGAUUGUCCGUCCUACGGAGGGACCAUGUCUAUCGAGUCCGUACAAGUGGUCUAGUCUUGUUUCGCUUCGAUGAGUAGGUUUGUUUGGUGUGCUCAUCCUAGUACCUCAAAUGGACACGUUCCGGAACAAAGUUUAGCACCGACUCCGAUUUACCCGGAUUGUCCGUCCUACGGAGGGACCAUGCCUAUCGAGUCCGUACAAGUGGUCUAGUCUUGUUUCGUUCGAUGAGUAGGUUUGUUUGGUGUGCUCAUCCUAGUACCUCAAAUGGACACGUUCCGGAACAAAGUUUAGCACCGACUCCGUAUUACCCGGAUUGUCCGUCCUAGGGACGGACCAUGCCUAGCGAGUCCGUACAAGUGGUCUAGUCUUGUUUCGCUUCGAUGAGUACGUUUGUUUGGUGUGCUCAUCCUAGUACCUCAAAUGGACACGUUCCGGAUCAAAUUUUAGCACCGACUCGGAUUUGGCCGGAUUGUCCGUCCUAGGGAGGGACCAUGCCUAGCGAGUCCGUACAAGUGGUCUAGUCUUGUUUCGCUUCGAUGAGUACGUUUGUCUUGUGUGCUCAUCCUCGUAGCUCAAAUGGACACGUUCCGGAUCAAAGUUUAGCACCGACUCCGAUUUACCCGGAUUGUCCGUCCUACGGAGAGAUCAUGCCUAUCGAGUCCGUACAAGUGGUCUAGUCUUGUUUCGCUUCGAUGAGUAGGUUUGUUUGGUGUGCUCAUCCUAGGACCUCAAAUGGACACGUUCCGGAUCAAAGUUUAGCACCGAGUCCGAUUUACCCUGAUUGUCCGUCCUAGCGAGGGACCAUGCCUAGCGAGUCCGUACAACUGGUCUGCUCUUGUUUCGCUUCGAUGAGUAGGUUUGUUUCGUGUGCUCAUCCUAGUACCUCAAAUGCACACGUUCCGGAUCAAAUUUUAGCACCGACUCGGAUUUGGCCGGAAUGUCCGUCCUUGGGAGGGACCAUGCCUAGCGAGUCCGUACAACUGGUCUACUCUUGUUUCGCUUCGAUGAGUAGGUCUGUUUCGUGUGCUCAUCCUAGUACCUCAAAUGGACACGUUCCGGAUCAAAGUUUAGCACCGACUCCGAUUCACCCGGAUUGUCCGUCCUAGUGAGGGACCCUGCCUAGCGAGUCCGUACAAGUGGUCUAGUCUUGUUUCGCUUCGAUCAAUUGGUUUGUUAGGUGUGCUCAUCGUAGUACCUCAGAUAGACACGUUCCGGAACAAAGUUUAGCACCGACUCCGAUUUUGACGGAUUGUCCGUCCUAGUGAGGGACCAUGCCUAGCGAGUCCGUACAAGUGGUCUAGUCUUGUUUCGCUUCGAUGUGUACGUUUGUUUUGUGUGCUCAUCCUCGUAGCUCAAAUGGACACGUUCCGGAUCAAAGUUUAGCACCGACUCCGAUUUACCCGGAUUGUCCGUCCUACGGAGCGACCAUGCCUAUCGAGUCCGUACAAGUGGUCUAGUCUUGUUUCGCUUCGAUGAGUAGGUUUGUUUGGUGUGCUCAUCCUAGUACCUCAAAUGGACACGUUCCGGAUCAAAGUUUAGCACCGACUCUGAUUUGGCCGGAUUGUCCGUCCUAGCGAGGGACCAUGCCUAGCGAGUCCGUACAAGUGGUCUAGUCUUGUUUCGCUUGGAUUAGUACGUUUGUUUUGUGUGCUCAUCCUCGUAGCUCAAAUGGACACGUUCCGGAUCAAAGUUUAGCGCCGACUCCGAUUUACCCGGAUUGUCCGUCCUACGGAGGGACCAUGCCUAUCGAGUCCGUACAAGUGGUCUAGUCUUGUUUCGCUUUGAUGAGUAGGUUUGUUUGGUGUGCUCAUCCUAGGACCUCAAAUGGACACGUUCCGGAUCAAAGUUUAGCACCGAGUCCGAUUUACCCUGAUUGUCCGUCCUAGCGAGGGACCAUGCCUAGCGAGUCCGUACAACUGGUCUGCUCUUGUUUCGCUUCGAUGAGUAGGUUUGUUUCGUGUGCACAUCCUAGUACCUCAAAUGCACUCGUUCCGGAUCAAAUUUUACCACCGACUCGGAUUUGGCCAGAAUGUCCGUCCUUGGGAGGGACCAUGCCUAGCGAGUCCGUACAACUUGUCUACUCUUGUUUCGCUUCGAUGAGUAGGUUUGUUUGGUGUGCUCAUCCUAGUACCUCAAAUGGACACGUUCCGGAUGAAAGUUUAGCACCGACUCCGAUUUGGCCGGAUUGUCCGUCGUAGUGAGGGACCGUGCCUAGCGGGUCCGUAGAAGUGGUCUAGUCUUGUUUCGCUUCAAUAAGUAGGUUUGUUUGGUGUGCUCAUCCUCGUAGCUCAAAUGGACACGUUCCGGAUCAAAGUUUAGCACCGACUCCGAUUUACCCGGAUUGUCCGUCCUACGGAGGGACCAUGUCUAUCGAGUCCGUACAAGUGGUCUAGUCUUGUUUCGCUUCGAUGAGUAGGUUUGUUUGGUGUGCUCAUCGUAGUACCUCAAAUGGACACGUUCCGGAACAAAGUUUAGCACCGACUCCGAUUUACCCGGAUUGUCCGUCCUACGGAGGGACCAUGCCUAUCGAGUCCGUACAAGUGGUCUAGUCUUGUUUCGCUUCGAUGAGUAGGUUUGUUUGGUGUGCUCAUCCUAGUACCUCAAAAGGACACGUUCCGGAACAAAGUUUAGCACGGACUCCGUAUUACCCGGAUUGUCCGUCCUAGGGACGGACCAUGCCUAGCGAGUCCGUAUAAGUGGUCUAGUCUUGUUUCGCUUCGAUGAGUACGUUUGUUUGGUGUGCUCAUCCUAGUAGCUCAAAUGGACACGUUCCGGAUCAAAGUUUAGCACCGACUCUGAUUUGGCCGGAUUGUCCGUCCUAGCGAGGGACCAUGCCUAGCGAGUCCGUACAAGUGGUCUAGUCUUGUUUCGCUUCGAUGAGUAGGUUUGUUUGUUGUGCUCAUCCUAGUACCUCAAAUGGACACGUUCCGGAUCAAAGUUUAGCACCGACUCUGAUUUGGCCGGCUUGUCCGUCCUAGCGAGGGACCAUGCGUAGCGUGUCCGUACAACUGGUCUACUCUUGUUUCGCUUCGAUGAGUAGGUUUGUUUGUUGAGCUCAUCGUAGUACCUCAAAUGGACACGUUCCGGAUCAAAUUUUAGCACCGACUCGGAUUUGGCCGGAUUGUCCGUCCUAGGGAGGGACCAUGCCUAGCGAGUCCGUACAAGUGGUCUAGUCUUGUUUGGCUUCGAUGAGUACGUUUGUCUUGUGUGCUCAUCCUCGUAGCUCAAAUGGACACGUUCCGGAUCAAAGUUUAGCACCGACUCCGAUUUACCCGGAUUGUCCGUCCUACGGAGAGACCUUGCCUAUCGAGUCCGUACAAGUGGUCUAGUCUUGUUUCGCUUCGAUGAGUAGGUUUGUGUGGUGUGCUCAUCCUAGGACCUCAAAUGGACACGUUCCGGAUCAAAGUUUAGCACCGAGUCCGAUUUACCCUGAUUGUCCGUCCUAGCGAGGGACCAUGCCUAGCGAGUCCGUACAACUGGUCUGCUCUUGUUUCGCUUCGAUGAGUAGGUUUGUUUCGUGUGCUCAUCCUAGUACCUCAAAUGCACACGUUCCGGAUCAAAUUUUACCACCGACUCGGAUUUGGCCAGAAUGUCCGUCCUUGGGAGGGACCAUGCCUAGCGAGUCCGUACAACUUGUCUACUCUUGUUUCGCUUCGAUGAGUAGGUUUGUUUGGUGUGCUCAUCCUAGUGCCUCAAAUGGACACGUUCCGGAUAAAAGUUUAGCACCGACUCCGAUUUGGCCGGAUUGUCCGUCGUAGUGAGGGACCGUGCCUAGCGGGUCGGUAUAAGUGGUCUAGUCUUGUUUCGCUUCAAUAAGUAGGUUUGUUUGGUGUGCUCAUCCUCGUAGCUCAAAUGGACACGUUCCGGAUCAAAGUUUAGCACCGACUCCGAUUUACCCGGAUUGUCCGUCCUACGGAGGGACCAUGUCUAUCGAGUCCGUACAAGUGCUCUAGUCUUGUUUCGCUUCGAUGAGUAGGUUUGUUUGGUGUGCUCAUCCUAGUACCUGAAAUGGACACGUUCCGGAACAAAGUUUAGCACCGACUCCGAUUUACCCGGAUUGUCCGUCCUACGGAGGGACCAUGCCUAUCGAGUCCGUACAAGUGGUCUAGUCUUGUUUCGCUUCGAUGAGUAGGUUUGUUUGGUGUGCUCAUCCUAGUACCUCAAAUGGACACGUUCCGGAACAAAGUUUAGCACCGACUCCGUAUUACCCGGAUUGUCCGUCCUAGGGAGGGACCAUGCCUAUCGAGUCCGUACAAGUGGUCUAGUCUUGUUUCGCUUCGAUGAGUAGGUUUGUUUGGUGUGCUCAUCCUAGUACCUCAAAUGGACACGUUCCGGAACAAAGUUUAGCACCGACUCCGAUUUACCCGGAUUGUCCGUCCUACGGAGGGACCAUGCCUAUCGAGUCCGUACAAGUGGUCUAGUCUUGUUUCGUUCGAUGAGUAGGUUUGUUUUGUGUGCUCAUCCUAGUACCUCAAAUGGACACGUUCCGGAACAAAGUUUAGCACCGACUCCGUAUUACCCGGAUUGUCCGUCCUAGGGACGGACCAUGCCUAGCGAGUCCGUACAAGUGGUCUAGUCUUGUUUCGCUUCGAUGAGUACGUUUGUUUGGUGUGCUCAUCCUAGUAGCUCAAAUGGACACGUUCCGGAUCAAAGUUUAGCACCGACUCUGAUUUGGCCGGCUUGUGCGUCCUAUCGAGGGACCAAGCGUAGCGAGUCCGUACAACUGGUCUACUCUUGUUUCGCUUCGAUGAGUAGGUUUGUUUGUUGAGCUCAUCGUAGUACCUCAAAUGGACACGUUCCGGAUCAAAGUUUAGCACCGACUCGGAUUUGGCCGGAUUGUCCGUCCUAGGGAGGGACCAUGCCUAGCGAGUCCGUACAAGUGGUCUAGUCUUGUUUCGCUUCGAUGUGUACGUUUGUUUUGUGUGCUCAUACUCGUAGCUCAAAUGGACACGUUCCGGAUCAAAGUUUAGCACCGACUCCGAUUUACCCGGAUUGUCCGUCCUACGGAGCGACCAUGCCUAUCGAGUCCGUACAAGUGGUCUAGUCUUGUUUCGCUUCGAUGAGUAGGUUUGUUUGGUGUGCUCAUCCUAGGACCUCAAAUGGACACGUUCCGGAUCAAAGUUUAGCACCGAGUCCGAUUUACCCUGAUUGUCCGUCCUAGCGAGGGACCAUGCCUAGCGAGUCCGUACAACUGGUCUGCUCUUGUUUCGCUUCGAUGAGUAGGUUUGUUUCGUGUGCUCAUCCUAGUACCUCAAAUGCACUCGUUCCGGAUCAAAUUUUACCACCGACUCGGAUUUGGCCAGAAUGUCCGUCCUUGGGAGGGACCAUGCCUAGCGAGUCCGUACAACUUGUCUCCUCUUGUUUCGCUUCGAUGAGUAGGGUUGUUUGGUGUGCUCAUCCUAGUACCUCAAAUGGACACGUUCCGGAUAAAAGUUUAGCACCGACUCCGAUUUGGCCGGAUUGUCCGUCGUAGUGAGGGACCGUGCCUAGCGGGUCCGUAUAAGUGGUCUAGUCUUGUUUCGCUUCAAUAAGUAGGUUUGUUUGGUGUGCUCAUCCUCGUAGCUCAAAUGGACACGUUCCGGAUCAAAGUUUAGCACCGACUCCGAUUUACCCGGAUUGUCCGUCCUACGGAGGGACCAUGUCUAUCGAGUCCGUACAAGUGGUCUAGUCUUGUUUCGCUUCGAUGAGUAGGUUUGUUUGGUGUGCUCAUCGUAGUACCUCAAAUGGACACGUUCCGGAACAAAGUUUAGCACCGACUCCGAUUUACCCGGAUUGUCCGUCCUACGGAGGGACCAUGCCUAUCGAGUCCGUACAAGUGGUCUAGUCUUGUUUCGCUUCGAUGAGUAGGUUUGUUUGGUGUGCUCAUCCUAGUACCUCAAAAGGACACGUUCCGGAACAAAGUUUAGCACUGACUCCGUAUUACCCGGAUUGUCCGUCCUAGGGACGGACCAUGCCUAGCGAGUCCGUACAAGUGGUCUAGUCUUGUUUCGCUUCGAUGAGUACGUUUGUUUGGUGUGCUCAUCCUAGUAGCUCAAAUGGACACGUUCCGGAUCAAAGUUUAGCACCGACUCUGAUUUGGCCGGAUUGUCCGUCCUAGCGAGGGACCAUGCCUAGCGAGUCCGUACAAGUGGUCUAGUCUUGUUUCGCUUCGAUGAGUAGGUUUGUUUGUUGUGCUCAUCCUAGUACCUCAAAUGGACACGUUCCGGAUCAAAGUUUAGCACCGACUCUGAUUUGGCCGGCUUGUCCGUCCUAGCGAGGGACCAUGCGUAGCGUGUCCGUACAACUGGUCUACUCUUGUUUCGCUUCGAUGAGUAGGUUUGUUUGUUGAGCUCAUCGUAGUACCUCAAAUGGACACGUUCCGGAUCAAAUUUUAGCACCGACUCGGAUUUGGCCGGAUUGUCCGUCCUAGGGAGGGACCAUGCCUAGCGAGUCCGUACAAGUGGUCUAGUCUUGUUUCCCUUCGAUGAGUACGUUUGUCUUGUGUGCUCAUCCUCGUAGCUCAAAUGGACACGUUCCGGAUCAAAGUUUAGCACGGACUCCGAUUUACCCGGAUUGUCCGUCCUACGGAGAGACCAUGCCUAUCGAGUCCGUACAAGUGGUCUAGUCUUGUUUCGCUUCGAUGAGUAGGUUUGUUUGGUGUGCUCAUCCUAGGACCUCAAAUGGACACGUUCCGGAUCAAAGUUUAGCACCGAGUCCGAUUUACCCUGAUUGUCCGUCCUAGCGAGGGACCAUGCCUAGCGAGUCCGUACAACUGGUCUGCUCUUGUUUCGCUUCGAUGAGUAGGUUUGUUUCGUGUGCUCAUCCUAGUACCUCAAAUGGACACGUUCCGGAUAAAAGUUUAGCACCGACUCCGAUUUGGCCGGAUUGUCCGUCGUAGUGAGGGACCGUGCCUAGCGGGUCCGUAUAAGUGGUCUAGUCUUGUUUCGCUUCAAUAAGUAGGUUUGUUUGGUGUGCUCAUCCUCGUAGCUCAAAUGGACACGUUCCGGAUCAAAGUUUAGCACCGACUCCGAUUUACCCGGAUUGUCCGUCCUACGGAGGGACCAUGUCUAUCGAGUCCGUACAAGUGGUCUAGUCUUGUUUCGCUUCGAUGAGUAGGUUUGUUUGGUGUGCUCAUCGUAGUACCUCAAAUGGACACGUUCCGGAACAAAGUUUAGCACCGACUCCGAUUUACCCGGAUUGUCCGUCCUACGGAGGGACCAUGCCUAUCGAGUCCGUACAAGUGGUCUAGUCUUGUUUCGCUUCGAUGAGUAGGUUUGUUUGGUGUGCUCAUCCUAGUACCUCAAAUGGACACGUUCCGGAACAAAGUUUAGCACCGACUCCGUAUUACCCGGAUUGUCCGUCCUAGGGACGGACCAUGCAUAGCGAGUCCGUACAAGUGGUCUAGUCUUGUUUCGCUUCGAUGAGUACGUUUGUUUGGUGUGCUCAUCCUAGUAGCUCAAAUGGACACGUUCCGGAACAAAGUUUAGCACCGACUCUGAUUUGGCCGGAUUGUCCGUCCUAGCGAGGGACCAUGCCUAGCGAGUCCGUACAAGUGGUCUAGUCUUGUUUCGCUUCGAUGAGUAGGUUUGUUUGGUGUGCUCAUCCUAGUACCUCAAAUGGACACGUUCCGGAUCAAAGUUUAGCACCGACUCCGAUUUGGCCGGCUUGUCCGUCCUUGCGAGGGACCAUGCGUAGCGUGUCCGUACAACUGGUCUACUCUUGUUUCGCUUCGAUGAGUAGGUUUGUUUGUUGAGCUCAUCGUAGUACCUCAAAUGGACACGUUCCGGAUCAAAUUUUAGCACCGACUCGGAUUUGGCCGGAUUGUCCGUCCUAGGGAGGGACCAUGCCUAGCGAGUCCGUACAAGUGGUCUAGUCUUGUUUCGCUUCGAUGAGUACGUUUGUCUUGUGUGCUCAUCCUCGUAGCUCAAAUGGACACGUUCCGUAUCAAAGUUUAGCACCGACUCCGAUUUACCCGGAUUGUCCGUCCUACGGAGAGACCAUGCCUAUCGAGUCCGUACAAUUGGUCUAGUCUUGUUUCGCUUCGAUGAGUGGGUUUGUUUGGUGUGCUCAUCCUAGGACCUCAAAUGGACACGUUCCGGAUCAAAGUUUAGCACCGAGUCCGAUUUACCCUGAUUGUCCGUCCUAGCGAGGGACCAUGCCUAGCGAGUCCGUACAACUGGUCUGCUCUUGUUUCGCUUCGAUGAGUAGGUUUGUUUCGUGUGCUCAUCCUAGUACCUCAAAUGCACACGUUCCGGAUCAAAUUUUACCACCGACUCGGAUUUGGCCAGAAUGUCCGUCCUUGGGAGGGACCAUGCCUAGCGAGUCCGUACAACUUGUCUACUCUUGUUUCGCUUCGAUGAGUAGGCUUGUUUGGUGUGCUCAUCCUAGUACCUCAAAUGGACACGUUCCGGAUAAAAGUUUAGCACCGACUCCGAUUUGGCCGGAUUGUCCGUCGUAGUGAGGGACCGUGCCUAGCGGGUCCGUACAAGUGGUCUAGUCUUGUUUCGCUUCGAUGAGUACGUUUGUUUGGUGUGAUCAUCCUAGUAGCUCAAAUGGACACGUUCCGGAUCAAAGUUUAGCACCGACUCUGAUUUGGCCGGAUUGUCCGUCCUACGGAGGGACCAUGUCUAUCGAGUCCGUACAAGUGCUCUAGUCUUGUUUCGCUUCGAUGAGUAGGUUUGUUUGGUGUGCUCAUCCUAGUAGCUCAAAUGGACACGUUCCGGAACAAAGUUUAGCACCGACUCCGAUUUACCCGGAUUGUCCGUCCUACGGAGGGACCAUGCCUAUCGAGUCCGUACAAGUGGUCUAGUCUUGUUUCGCUUCAAUAAGUAGGUUUGUUCUGUGUGCUCAUCCUCGUAGCUCAAAUGGACACGUUCCGGAUCAAAGUUUAGCACCGACUCCGAUUUACUCGGAUUGUCCGUCCUACGGAGGGACCAUGUCUAUCAAGUCCGUACAAGUGCUCUAGUCUUGUUUCGCUUCGAUGAGUAGGUUUGUUUGGUGUGCUCAUCCUAGUACCUCAAAUGGACACGUUCCGGAACAAAGUUUAGCACCGACUGCGAUUUACCCGGAUUGUCCGUCCUACGGAGGGACCAUGCCUAUCGAGUCCGUACAAGUGGUCUAGUCUUGUUUCGCUUCGAUGAGUAGGUUUGUUUGGUGUGCUCAUCCUAGUACCUCAAAUGGACACGUUCCGGAACAAAGUUUAGCACCGACUCCGUAUUACCCGGAUUGUCCGUCCUAGGGACGGACCAUGCCUAGCGAGUCCGUACAAGUGGUCUAGUCUUGUUUCGCUUCGAUGAGUACGUUUGUUUGGUGUGAUCAUCCUAGUAGCUCAAAUGGACACGUUCCGGAUCAAAGUUUAGCACCGACUCUGAUUUGGCCGGAUUGUCCGUCCUAGCGAGGGACCAUGCCUAGCGAGUCCGUACAAGUGGUCUAGUCUUGUUUCGCUUCGAUGAGUAGGUUUGUUUGGUGUGCUCAUCCUAGUACCUCAAAUGGACACGUUCCGGAACAAAGUUUAGCACCGACUCCGUAUUACCCGGAUUGUCCGUCCUAGGGACGGACCAUGCCUAGCGAGUCCGUACAAGUGGUCUAGUCUUGUUUCGCUUCGAUGAGUACGUUUGUCUUGUGUGCUCAUCCUCGUAGCUCAAAUGGACACGUUCCGGAUCAAAGUUUAGCACCGACUCCGAUUUACCCGGAUUGUCCGUCCUACGGAGAGACCAUGCCUAUCGAGUCCGUACAAUUGGUCUAGUCUUGUUUCGCUUCGAUGAGUGGGUUUGUUUGGUGUGCUCAUCCUAGGACCUCAAAUGGACACGUUCCGGAUCAAAGUUUAGCACCGACUCCGAUUUACCCGGAUUGUCCGUCCUACGGAGGGACCAUGUCUAUCGAGUCCGUACAAGUGCUCUAGUCUUGUUUCGCUUCGAUGAGUAGGUUUGUUUGGUGUGCUCAUCCUAGUACCUCAAAUGGACACGUUCCGGAACAAAGUUUAGCACCGACUCCGAUUUACCCGGAUUGUCCGUCCUACGGAGGGACCAUGCCUAUCGAGUCCGUACAAGUGGUCUAGUCUUGUUUCGCUUCGAUGAGUAGGUUUGUUUGGUGUGCUCAUCGUAGUACCUCAAAUGGACACGUUCCGGAACAAAGUUUAGCACCGACUCCGAUUUACCCGGAUUGUCCGUCCUACGGAGGGACCAUGCCUAUCGAGUCCGUACAAGUGGUCUAGUCUUGUUUCGCUUCGAUGAGUAGGUUUGUUUGGUGUGCUCAUCCUAGUACCUCAAAUGGACACGUUCCGGAACAAAGUUUAGCACCGACUCCGUAUUACCCGGAUUGUCCGUCCUAGGGACGGACCAUGCAUAGCGAGUCCGUACAAGUGGUCUAGUCUUGUUUCGCUUCGAUGAGUACGUUUGUUUGGUGUGCUCAUCCUAGUAGCUCAAAUGGACACGUUCCGGAACAAAGUUUAGCACCGACUCUGAUUUGGCCGGAUUGUCCGUCCUAGCGAGGGACCAUGCCUAGCGAGUCCGUACAAGUGGUCUAGUCUUGUUUCGCUUCGAUGAGUAGGUUUGUUUGGUGUGCUCAUUCUAGUACCUCAAAUGGACACGUUCCGGAUAAAAGUUUAGCACCGACUCCGAUUUGGCCGGAUUGUCCGUCGUAGUGAGGGACCGUGCCUAGCGGGUCCGUAUAAGUGGUCUAGUCUUGUUUCGCUUCAAUAAGUAGGUUUGUUUGGUGUGCUCAUCCUCGUAGCUCAAAUGGACACGUUCCGGAUCAAAGUUUAGCACCGACUCCGAUUUACCCGGAUUGUCCGUCCUACGGAGGGACCAUGUCUAUCGAGUCCGUACAAGUGGUCUAGUCUUGUUUCGCUUCGAUGAGUAGGUUUGUUUGGUGUGCUCAUCGUAGUACCUCAAAUGGACACGUUCCGGAACAAAGUUUAGCACCGACUCCGAUUUACCCGGAUUGUCCGUCCUACGGAGGGACCAUGCCUAUCGAGUCCGUACAAGUGGUCUAGUCUUGUUUCGCUUCGAUGAGUAGGUUUGUUUGGUGUGCUCAUCCUAGUACCUCAAAAGGACACGUUCCGGAACAAAGUUUAGCACUGACUCCGUAUUACCCGGAUUGUCCGUCCUAGGGACGGACCAUGCCUAGCGAGUCCGUACAAGUGGUCUAGUCUUGUUUCGCUUCGAUGAGUACGUUUGUUUGGUGUGCUCAUCCUAGUAGCUCAAAUGGACACGUUCCGGAUCAAAGUUUAGCACCGACUCUGAUUUGGCCGGAUUGUCCGUCCUAGCGAGGGACCAUGCCUAGCGAGUCCGUACAAGUGGUCUAGUCUUGUUUCGCUUCGAUGAGUAGGUUUGUUUGUUGUGCUCAUCCUAGUACCUCAAAUGGACACGUUCCGGAUCAAAGUUUAGCACCGACUCUGAUUUGGCCGGCUUGUCCGUCCUAGCGAGGGACCAUGCGUAGCGUGUCCGUACAACUGGUCUACUCUUGUUUCGCUUCGAUGAGUAGGUUUGUUUGUUGAGCUCAUCGUAGUACCUCAAAUGGACACGUUCCGGAUCAAAUUUUAGCACCGACUCGGAUUUGGCCGGAUUGUCCGUCCUAGGGAGGGACCAUGCCUAGCGAGUCCGUACAAGUGGUCUAGUCUUGUUUCGCUUCGAUGAGUACGUUUGUCUUGUGUGCUCAUCCUCGUAGCUCAAAUGGACACGUUCCGGAUCAAAGUUUAGCACCGACUCCGAUUUACCCGGAUUGUCCGUCCUACGGAGAGACCAUGCCUAUCGAGUCCGUACAAGUGGUCUAGUCUUGUUUCGCUUCGAUGAGUAGGUUUGUUUGGUGUGCUCAUCCUAGGACCUCAAAUGGACACGUUCCGGAUCAAAGUUUAGCACCGACUCCGAUUUACCCGGAUUGUCCGUCCUACGGAGAGACCAUGCCUAUCGAGUCCGUACAAUUGGUCUAGUCUUGUUUCGCUUCGAUGAGUGGGUUUGUUUGGUGUGCUCAUCCUAGGACCUCAAAUGGACACGUUCCGGAUCAAAGUUUAGCACCGAGUCCGAUUUACCCUGAUUGUCCGUCCUAGCGAGGGACCAUGCCUAGCGAGUCCGUACAACUGGUCUGCUCUUGUUUCGCUUCGAUGAGUAGGUUUGUUUCGUGUGCUCAUCCUAGUACCUCAAAUGCACACGUUCCGGAUCAAAUUUUACCACCGACUCGGAUUUGGCCAGAAUGUCCGUCCUUGGGAGGGACCAUGCCUAGCGAGUCCGUACAACUUGUCUACUCUUGUUUCGCUUCGAUGAGUAGGCUUGUUUGGUGUGCUCAUCCUAGUACCUCAAAUGGACACGUUCCGGAUAAAAGUUUAGCACCGACUCCGAUUUGGCCGGAUUGUCCGUCGUAGUGAGGGACCGUGCCUAGCGGGUCCGUACAAGUGGUCUAGUCUUGUUUCGCUUCGAUGAGUACGUUUGUUUGGUGUGAUCAUCCUAGUAGCUCAAAUGGACACGUUCCGGAUCAAAGUUUAGCACCGACUCUGAUUUGGCCGGAUUGUCCGUCCUACGGAGGGACCAUGUCUAUCGAGUCCGUACAAGUGCUCUAGUCUUGUUUCGCUUCGAUGAGUAGGUUUGUUUGGUGUGCUCAUCCUAGUAGCUCAAAUGGACACGUUCCGGAACAAAGUUUAGCACCGACUCCGAUUUACCCGGAUUGUCCGUCCUACGGAGGGACCAUGCCUAUCGAGUCCGUACAAGUGGUCUAGUCUUGUUUCGCUUCAAUAAGUAGGUUUGUUCUGUGUGCUCAUCCUCGUAGCUCAAAUGGACACGUUCCGGAUCAAAGUUUAGCACCGACUCCGAUUUACUCGGAUUGUCCGUCCUACGGAGGGACCAUGUCUAUCAAGUCCGUACAAGUGCUCUAGUCUUGUUUCGCUUCGAUGAGUAGGUUUGUUUGGUGUGCUCAUCCUAGUACCUCAAAUGGACACGUUCCGGAACAAAGUUUAGCACCGACUGCGAUUUACCCGGAUUGUCCGUCCUACGGAGGGACCAUGCCUAUCGAGUCCGUACAAGUGGUCUAGUCUUGUUUCGCUUCGAUGAGUAGGUUUGUUUGGUGUGCUCAUCCUAGUACCUCAAAUGGACACGUUCCGGAACAAAGUUUAGCACCGACUCCGAUUUACCCGGAUUGUCCGUCCUACGGAGGGACCAUGCCUAUCGAGUCCGUACAAGUGGUCUAGUCUUGUUUCGCUUCGAUGAGUAGGUUUGUUUGGUGUGCUCAUCCUAGUACCUCAAAUGGACACGUUCCGGAACAAAGUUUAGCACCGACUCCGAUUUACCCGGAUUGUCCGUCCUACGGAGGGACCAUGCCUAUCGAGUCCGUACAAGUGGUCUAGUCUUGUUUCGCUUCGAUGAGUAGGUUUGUUUGGUGUGCUCAUCCUAGUACCUCAUAUGGACACGUUCCGGAUCAAAGUUUAGCACCGACUCUGAUUUGGCCGGAUUGUCCGUCCUAGCGAGGGACCAUGCCUAGCGAGUCCGUACAAGUGGUCUAGUCUUGUUUCGCUUCGAUGAGUAGGUUUGUUUGGUGUGCUCAUCCUAGUACCUCAAAUGGACACGUUCCGGAACAAAGUUUAGCACCGACUCCGUAUUACCCGGAUUGUCCGUCCUAGGGACGGACCAUGCCUAGCGAGUCCGUACAAGUGGUCUAGUCUUGUUUCGCUUCGAUGAGUAGGUUUGUUUGGUGUGCUCAUCCUAGUACCUCAAAUGGACACGUUCCGGAUCAAAGUUUAGCACCGACUCUGAUUUGGCCGGCUUGUCCGUCGUUGCGAGGGACCAUGCGUAGCGUGUCCGUACAACUGGUCUACUCUUGUUUCGCUUCGAUGAGUAGGUUUGUUUGUUGAGCUCAUCGUAGUACCUCAUAUGGACACGUACCGGAUCAAAUUUUAGCACCGACUCGGAUUUGGCCGGAUUGUCCGUCCUAGGGAGGGACCAUGCCUAGCGAGUCCGUACAAGUGGUCUAGUCUUGUUUCGCUUCGAUGAGUACGUUUGUCUUGUGUGCUCAUCCUCGUAGCUCAAAUGGACACGUUCCGGAUCAAAGUUUAGCACCGACUCCGAUUUACCCGGAUUGUCCGUCCUACGGAGAGACCAUGCCUAUCGAGUCCGUACAAUUGGUCUAGUCUUGUUUCGCUUCGAUGAGUGGGUUUGUUUGGUGUGCUCAUCCUAGGACCUCAAAUGGACACGUUCCGGAUCAAAGUUUAGCACCGACUCCGAUUUACUCGGAUUGUCCGUCCUACGGAGGGACCAUGUCUAUCAAGUCCGUACAAGUGCUCUAGUCUUGUUUCGCUUCGAUGAGUAGGUUUGUUUGGUGUGCUCAUCCUAGUACCUCAAAUGGACACGUUCCGGAACAAAGUUUAGCACCGACUGCGAUUUACCCGGAUUGUCCGUCCUACGGAGGGACCAUGCCUAUCGAGUCCGUACAAGUGGUCUAGUCUUGUUUCGCUUCGAUGAGUAGGUUUGUUUGGUGUGCUCAUCCUAGUACCUCAAAUGGACACGUUCCGGAACAAAGUUUAGCACCGACUCCGUAUUACCCGGAUUGUCCGUCCUAGGGACGGACCAUGCCUAGCGAGUCCGUACAAGUGGUCUAGUCUUGUUUCGCUUCGAUGAGUACGUUUGUUUGGUGUGAUCAUCCUAGUAGCUCAAAUGGACACGUUCCGGAUCAAAGUUUAGCACCGACUCUGAUUUGGCCGGAUUGUCCGUCCUAGCGAGGGACCAUGCCUAGCGAGUCCGUACAAGUGGUCUAGUCUUGUUUCGCUUCGAUGAGUAGGUUUGUUUGGUGUGCUCAUCCUAGUACCUCAAAUGGACACGUUCCGGAACAAAGUUUAGCACCGACUCCGUAUUACCCGGAUUGUCCGUCCUAGGGACGGACCAUGCCUAGCGAGUCCGUACAAGUGGUCUAGUCUUGUUUCGCUUCGAUGAGUAGGUUUGUUUGGUGUGCUCAUCCUAGUACCUCAAAUGGACACGUUCCGGAUCAAAGUUUAGCACCGACUCUGAUUUGGCCGGCUUGUCCGUCGUUGCGAGGGACCAUGCGUAGCUUGUCCGUACAACUGGUCUACUCUUGUUUCGCUUCGAUGAGUAGGUUUGUUUGUUGAGCUCAUCGUAGUACCUCAUAUGGACACGUACCGGAUCAAAUUUUAGCACCGACUCGGAUUUGGCCGGAUUGUCCGUCCUAGGGAGGGACCAUGCCUAGCGAGUCCGUACAAGUGGUCUAGUCUUGUUUCGCUUCGAUGAGUACGUUUGUCUUGUGUGCUCAUCCUCGUAGCUCAAAUGGACACGUUCCGGAUCAAAGUUUAGCACCGACUCCGAUUUACCCGGAUUGUCCGUCCUACGGAGAGACCAUGCCUAUCGAGUCCGUACAAUUGGUCUAGUCUUGUUUCGCUUCGAUGAGUGGGUUUGUUUGGUGUGCUCAUCCUAGGACCUCAAAUGGACACGUUCCGGAUCAAAGUUUAGCACCGAGUCCGAUUUACCCUGAUUGUCCGUCCUAGCGAGGGACCAUGCCUAGCGAGUCCGUACAACUGGUCUGCUCUUGUUUCGCUUCGAUGAGUAGGUUUUUUUCGUGAGCUCAUCCUAGUACCUCAAAUGCACACGUUCCGGAUCAAAUUUUACCACCGACUCGGAUUUGGCCACAAUGUCCGUCCUUGGGAGGGACCAUGCCUAGCGAGUCCGUACAACUUGUCUCCUCUUGUUUCGCUUCGAUGAGUAGGUUUGUUUGGUGUGCUCAUCCUAGUACCUCAAAUGGACACGUUCCGGAUAAAAGUUUAGCACCGACUCCGAUUUGGCCGGAUUGUCCGUCGUAGUGAGGGACCGUGCCUAGCGGGUCUGUACAAGUGGUCUAGUCUUGUUUCGCUUCAAUAAGUAGGUUUGUUUGGUGUGCUCAUCCUCGUAGCUCAAAUGGACACGUUCCGGAUCAAAGUUUAGCACCGACUCCGAUUUACCCGGAUUGUCCGUCCUACGGAGGGACCAUGUCUAUCGAGUCCGUACAAGUGCUCUAGUCUUGUUUCGCUUCGAUGAGUAGGUUUGUUUGGUGUGCUCAUCCUAGUACCUCAAAUGGACACGUUCCGGAACAAAGUUUAGCACCGACUCCGAUUUACCCGGAUUGUCCGUCCUACGGAGGGACCAUGCCUAUCGAGUCCGUACAAGUGGUCUAGUCUUGUUUCGCUUCGAUGAGUAGGUUUGUUUGGUGUGCUCAUCCUAGUACCUCAAAUGGACACGUUCCGGAAGAAAGUUUAGCACCGACUCCGUAUUACCCGGAUUGUCCGUCCUAGGGACGGACCAUGCAUAGCGAGUCCGUACAAGUGGUCUAGUCUUGUUUCGCUUCGAUGAGUACGUUUGUUUGGUGUGCUCAUCCUAGUAGCUCAAAUGGACACGUUCCGGAACAAAGUUUAGCACCGACUCUGAUUUGGCCGGAUUGUCCGUCCUAGUGAGGGACCAUGCCUAGCGAGUCCGUACAAGUGGUCUAUUCUUGUUUCGCUUCAAUAAGUAGGUUUGUUUGGUGUGCUCAUCCUAGUACCUCAAAUGGACACGUUCCGGAUCAAAGUUUAGCACCGACUCCGAUUCACCCGGAUUGUCCGUCCUAGGGAGGGACCAUGCCUAGCGAGUCCGUACAAGUGGUCUAGUCUUGUUUCGCUUCGAUGAGUAGGUUUGUUUGCUGUGCUCCUCCUAGUACCACAAAUGGACACGUUCCGGAACAAAGUUUAGCACCGAGUCCGAUUUACCCUGAUUGUCCGUCCUAGCGAGGGACCAUGCCUAGCGAGUCCGUAAAACUGGUCUACUCUUGUUUCGCUUCGAUGAGUAGGUUUGUUUGGUGUGCUCAUCCUAGUACCUCAAAGGGACACGUUCGGGAUCAAACUUUAGCACCGACUCGGAUUUGGCCGGAAUGUCCGUCCUUGGGAGGGACCAUGCCUAGCGAGUCCGUACAACUGGUCUACUCUUGUUUCGCUUCGAUGAGUAGGUUUGUUUCGUGUGCUCAUCCUAGUACCUCAAAUGGACACGUUCCGGAUCAAAGUUUAGCACCGACUCCGAUUCACCCGGAUUGUCCGUCGUAGUGAGGGACCAUGCGUAGCGAGUCCGUACAAGUGGUCUAGUCUUGUUUCGCUUCGAUCAAUUGGUUUGUUAGGUGUGCUCAUCGUAGUACCUCAGAUAGACACGUUCCGGAACAAAGUUUAGCACCGACUCCGAUUUUGCCGGAUUGUCCGUCCUAGUGAGGGACCAAUCCUACCGAGUCCGUACAAGUGGUCUAUUCUUGUUUCGCUUCAAUAAGUAGGUUUGUUUGGUGUGCUCAUCCUAAUACCUCAAAUGGACACGUUCGGGAUCAAACUUUAGCACCGACUCCGAUUUGGCUGGAUUGUCCGUCGUAGUGAGGGACCAUGCCUAGCGGGUCCGUAUAAGUGCUCUAGUCUUGUUUCGCUUCAAUAAGUAGGUUUGUUUGGUGUGCUCAUCCUAGUACCACAAAUGGACACGUUCCGGAACAAAGUUUAGCACCGAGUCCAAUUUACCCUGAUUGUCCGUCCUAGCGAGGGACCAUGCCUAGCGAGUCCGUACAACUGGUCUACUCUUGUUUCGCUUCGAUGAGUAGGUUUGUUUCGUGUGCUCAUCCUAAUACCUCAAAUGCACACGUUCCGGAUCAAAUUUUAGCACCGACUCGGAUUUGGCCGGAAUGUCCGUCCUAGUGAGGGACCAUGCCUAGCGAGUCCGUACAAGUGGUCCAGUCUUGUUUCGCUUCGAUGAGUAGGUUUGUUUGGUGUGCUCAUCCUACUACCUCAAAUGGACACAUUCGGGAUCAAAGUUUAGCACCGACUCUGAUUUGGACGGCUUGUCCGUCCUAGCGAGGGACCAUGCCUAGCGAGUCCGUACAACUGGUCUACUCUUGUUUCGCUUCGAUGAGUAGGUUUGUUUGGUGUGCUCAUCCUAGUACCUCAAAUGGACACGUUCCGGAUCAAAGUUUAGCACCGACUCCGAUUUACCCGGAUUGUCCGUCCUAGUGAGGGACCAUGCCUAGCGAGUCCGUACGAUUGGUCUAGUCUUGUUUCGCUUCGAUGAGUAGGUUUGUUUGUUGAGCUCAUCGUAGUACCUCAAAUGGACACGUUCCGGAUCAAAUUUUAGCACCGACUCGGGUUUGGCCGGAUUGUCCGUCCUAGGGAGGGACCAUGCCUAGCGAGUCCGUACAAGUGGUCUAGUCUUGUUUCGCUUCGAUGAGUACGUUUGUUUGGUGUGCUCAUCCUAGUAGAUCAAAGGGACACGUUCCGGAUCAAAGUCAGCACCGACUCUGAUUUGGCCGGAUUGUCCGUCCUAGCGAGUCUGUAUAAGUGGUCUAGUCUUGUUUCGCUUGCAUCAGUAGGUUUGUUUGUUGUGCUCAUCCCAGUAGCUCAAAUGGACACGUUCCGGAUCAAAGUUUAGCACCGACUCUGAUUUUGCCGGAUUGUCCGUCCUAGUGAGGGACCAUGCCUAGCGAGUCCGUACAAGUGGUCUAGUCUUGUUUUGCUUCGAUGAGUAGGUUUGUUUGGUGUGCUCAUCCUAGUUCCUCAAAUGGACACGUUCCGGAUCAAAGUUUUGAACAGACUCGGAUUUGGCCGACUUGGCCGUCCUAGCGAGGGACCAUGCCUAGCAAGUCCGUACAAGUGGUCUACUCAUGUUUCGCUUCGAUGAGUAGGUUUGUUUGGUGUGCUCAUCCUAGUACCACAAAUGGACACGUUCCGGAACAAAGUUUAGCACCGAGUCCGAUUUACCCUGAUUGUUCGUCCUAGCGAGGGACCAUGCCUACCGAGUCCGUACAACUGGUCUACUCUUGUUUCGCUUCGAUGAGUAGUUUUGUUUGGUGUGCUCAUCCUAGUACCUCAAAGGGACACGUUCCGGAUCAAAGUUUAGCACCGACUCCGAUUCACCCGGAUUGUCCGUCCUAGUGAGGGACCAUGCCUAGCGAGUCCGUACAAGUGGUCUAGUCUUGUUUCGCUUCGAUCAAUUGGUUUGUUAGGUGUGCUCAUCGUAGUACCUCAGAUAGACACGUUCCGGAACAAACUUUAGCACCGACUCCGAUUUUGCCGGAUUGUCCGUCCUAGUGAGGGACCAUGCCUAGCGAGUCCGUACAAGUGGUCUAUUCUUGUUUCGCUUCAAUAAGUAGGUUUGUUUGGUGUGCUCAUCCUAAUACCUCAAAUGGACACGUUCGGGAUCAAAGUUUAGCACCGACUCCGAUUUGGCCGGAUUGUCCGUCGUAGUGAGGGACCGUGCCUAGCGGGUCCUUAUAAGUGGUCUAGUCUUGUUUCGCUUCAAUAAGUAGGUUUGUUAGGUGUGCUCAUCCUCGUAGCUCAAAUGGACACGUUCCGGAUCAAAGUUUAGCACCGACUCCGAUUUACCCGGAUUGUCCGUCCUACGGUGGGACCAUGCCUAUCGAGUCCGUACAAGUGGUCUAGUCUUGUUUCGCUUCGAUGAAUAGGUUUGUUUGGUGUCCUCAUCCUACUACCUCAAAUGGACACGUUCCGGAUCAAAGUUUAGCACCGACUCUGAUUUGGCCGGAUUGUCCGUCCUAGCGAGGGACCCUGCCUAGCGAGUCCGUACAAGUGGUCUAGUCUUGUUUCGCUUCGAUGAGUACGUUUGUUUGGUGUGCUCACCUAGUAGCUCAAAUGGAAACGUUCCGGAUCACAGUUUAGCACCGACUCCGAUUUUGCCGGAUUGUCCGUCCUAGUGAGGGACCAUGCCUAGCGAGUCCGUACAAGUGGUCUAAUCUUGUUUCGCUUCGAUAAGUAGGUUUGUUUGGUGUGCUCAUUCUAGUACCUCAAAUGCAGACGUUCCGGAUCAAAGUUUAGCACCGACUCUGAUUUGGCCGGAUUGUGCGUCCUAGUGAGGGACCAUGCCUAGCGAGUCCGUACAAGUGGUCUAGUCUUGUUUCCCUUCGAUGAGUAGGUUUGUUUGGUGUGCUCAUCCUAGUUCCUCAAAUGGACAGGUUCCGGAUCAAAGUUUAGCACCGACUCCGAUUUACACUGAUUGUCUGUCCUAGCGAGGGACCAAGCCUAGCGAGUCCGUACAACUGGUCUACUCUUGUUUCGCUUCGAUGAGUAGGUUUGUUUGGUGUGCUCAUCCUAGUUCCUCAAAUGGACAGGUUCCGGAUCAAAGUUUAGCACCGACUCCGAUUUACACUGAUUGUCUGUCCUAGCGAGGGACCAAGCCUAGCGAGUCCGUACAACUGGUCUACUCUUGUUUCGCUUCGAUGAGUAGGUUUGUUUGGUGUGCUCAUCCUAGUACCUCAAAUGGACACGUUCCGGAUCAAAGUUUAGCACCGACUCUGAUUUGGCCGGAUUGUCCGUCGUAGAAAGGGACCAUGCCUAGCGAGUCCGUACAAGUGGUCUAGUCUUGUUUCACUUCGAUGAGUAGGUUUGUUUGGUGUGCUCAUUCCAGUACCUGAAAUGGACACGUUGCGGAUCAAAGUUUAGCACCAACUCUGAUUUGGCCGGCUUGUCCAUCCUAGCGAGGGACCAUGCCUAGCGAGUCCGUACAACUGGUCUACUCUUGUUUCGCUUCGAUGAGUAGGUUUGUUUGGUGUGCUCAUCCUAGUACCUCAAAUGGACACGUUCCGGAUCAAAGUUUAGCACCGACUCCGAUUCACCCGGCUUGUCCGUCCUAGUGAGGGACCAUGCCUAGCGAGUCCGUACAAGUGGUCUAGUCUUGUUUCGCUUCGAUGAGUAGUUUUGUUUGGUGUGCUCAUCCUAGUACCACAAAUGGACACGUUCCGGAACAAAGUUUAGCACCGAGUCCGAUUUACCCUGAUUGUCCGUCAUAGCGAGGGACCAUGCCUAGCGAGUCCGUACAACUGGUCUACUCUUGUUUCGCUUCGAUGAGUAGGUUUGUUUGGUGUGCUCAUCCUAGUACCUCAAAUGGACACGUUCCGGAUCAAAGUUUAGCACCGACUCCGAUUCACCCGGAUUGUCCGUCCUAGUGAGGGACCAUGCCUAGCGAGUCCGUACAAGUUGUCUAGUCUUCUUUCGCUUCGAUCAAUUGGUUUGUUAGGUGUGCUCAUCGUAGUACCUCAGAUAGACACGUUCCGGAACAAAGUUUAGCACCGACUCCGAUUUUGCCGGAUUGUCCGUCCUAGUGAGGGACCAUGCCUAGCGAGUCCGUACAAGUGGUCUAUUCUUGUUUCGCUUCAAUAAGUAGGUUUGUUUGGUGUGCUCAUCCUAGUACCUCAAAUGGACACGUUCCGGAUCAAAGUUUAGCACCGACUCCGAUUCACCCGGAUUGUCCGUCCUAGGGAGGGACCAUGCCUAGCGAGUCCGUACAAGUGGUCUAGUCUUGUUUCGCUUCGAUGAGUAGGUUUGUUUGCUGUGCUCCUCCUAGUACCACAAAUGGACACGUUCCGGAACAAAGUUUAGCACCGAGUCCGAUUUACCCUGAUUGUCCGUCCUAGCGAGGGACCAUGCCUAGCGAGUCCGUAAAACUGGUCUACUCUUGUUUCGCUUCGAUGAGUAGGUUUGUUUGGUGUGCUCAUCCUAGUACCUCAAAGGGACACGUUCGGGAUCAAACUUUAGCACCGACUCGGAUUUGGCCGGAAUGUCCGUCCUUGGGAGGGACCAUGCCUAGCGAGUCCGUACAACUGGUCUACUCUUGUUUCGCUUCGAUGAGUAGGUUUGUUUCGUGUGCUCAUCCUAGUACCUCAAAUGGACACGUUCCGGAUCAAAGUUUAGCACCGACUCCGAUUCACCCGGAUUGUCCGUCGUAGUGAGGGACCAUGCGUAGCGAGUCCGUACAAGUGGUCUAGUCUUGUUUCGCUUCGAUCAAUUGGUUUGUUAGGUGUGCUCAUCGUAGUACCUCAGAUAGACACGUUCCGGAACAAAGUUUAGCACCGACUCCGAUUUUGCCGGAUUGUCCGUCCUAGUGAGGGACCAAUCCUACCGAGUCCGUACAAGUGGUCUAUUCUUGUUUCGCUUCAAUAAGUAGGUUUGUUUGGUGUGCUCAUCCUAAUACCUCAAAUGGACACGUUCGGGAUCAAACUUUAGCACCGACUCCGAUUUGGCUGGAUUGUCCGUCGUAGUGAGGGACCAUGCCUAGCGGGUCCGUAUAAGUGCUCUAGUCUUGUUUCGCUUCAAUAAGUAGGUUUGUUUGGUGUGCUCAUCCUAGUACCACAAAUGGACACGUUCCGGAACAAAGUUUAGCACCGAGUCCAAUUUACCCUGAUUGUCCGUCCUAGCGAGGGACCAUGCCUAGCGAGUCCGUACAACUGGUCUACUCUUGUUUCGCUUCGAUGAGUAGGUUUGUUUCGUGUGCUCAUCCUAAUACCUCAAAUGCACACGUUCCGGAUCAAAUUUUAGCACCGACUCGGAUUUGGCCGGAAUGUCCGUCCUAGUGAGGGACCAUGCCUAGCGAGUCCGUACAAGUGGUCCAGUCUUGUUUCGCUUCGAUGAGUAGGUUUGUUUGGUGUGCUCAUCCUACUACCUCAAAUGGACACAUUCGGGAUCAAAGUUUAGCACCGACUCUGAUUUGGACGGCUUGUCCGUCCUAGCGAGGGACCAUGCCUAGCGAGUCCGUACAACUGGUCUACUCUUGUUUCGCUUCGAUGAGUAGGUUUGUUUGGUGUGCUCAUCCUAGUACCUAAAAUGGACACGUUCCGGAUCAAAGUUUAGCACCGACUCCGAUUUACCCGGAUUGUCCGUCCUAGUGAGGGACCAUGCCUAGCGAGUCCGUACGAUUGGUCUAGUCUUGUUUCGCUUCGAUGAGUAGGUUUGUUUGUUGAGCUCAUCGUAGUACCUCAAAUGGACACGUUCCGGAUCAAAUUUUAGCACCGACUCGGGUUUGGCCGGAUUGUCCGUCCUAGGGAGGGACCAUGCCUAGCGAGUCCGUACAAGUGGUCUAGUCUUGUUUCGCUUCGAUGAGUACGUUUGUUUGGUGUGCUCAUCCUAGUAGAUCAAAGGGACACGUUCCGGAUCAAAGUCAGCACCGACUCUGAUUUGGCCGGAUUGUCCGUCCUAGCGAGUCUGUAUAAGUGGUCUAGUCUUGUUUCGCUUGCAUCAGUAGGUUUGUUUGUUGUGCUCAUCCCAGUAGCUCAAAUGGACACGUUCCGGAUCAAAGUUUAGCACCGACUCUGAUUUUGCCGGAUUGUCCGUCCUAGUGAGGGACCAUGCCUAGCGAGUCCGUACAAGUGGUCUAGUCUUGUUUUGCUUCGAUGAGUAGGUUUGUUUGGUGUGCUCAUCCUAGUUCCUCAAAUGGACACGUUCCGGAUCAAAGUUUUGAACAGACUCGGAUUUGGCCGACUUGGCCGUCCUAGCGAGGGACCAUGCCUAGCAAGUCCGUACAAGUGGUCUACUCAUGUUUCGCUUCGAUGUGUAGCUUUGUUUUGUGUGCUCAUCCUAGUAUCUCAAAUGGACACGUUCCGUAUCGAAGUUUAGCACCGACUCCGAUUUAGCCGGAUUGUCCAUCCUAGGGAGGGACCAUGCCUAGCGAGUCCGUACAAGUGGUCUACUCUUGUUUCGCUUCGAUGAGUAGCUUUGUUUUGUGUGCUCAUCCGAGGACCUCAAAUGGACACGUUCCGGAUCAAAGUUUAGCACCGACUCCGAUUUACCCGGAUUGUCCGUCCUAGCGAGGCACCAUGCCUAGCGAGUCCGUACAACUGGUCUACUCUUGUUUCGCUUCGAUGAGUUGGUUUGCUUGGUGUGCUCAUCCUAGUACCUCAAAUGGACACGUUCCGGAACAAAGUUUAGCGCCGACUCCGAUUUUGCCGGAUUGUCCGUCUUAGGGAGGGACCAUGCCUAGCGAGUCCGUACAAGUGGUCUAAUCUUGUUUCGCAUCGAUAGGUAGGUUUGUUUGGUGUGCUCAUCCUAGUUCCUCAAAUGGACAGGUUCCAGAUCAAAGUUUAGCACCGACUCCGAUUUACACUGAUUGUCUGUCCUAGCGAGGGACCAUGCCUAGCGAGUCCGUACAACUGGUCUACUCUUGUUUCGCUUCGAUGAGUAGGUUUGUUUGGUGUGCUCAUCCUAGUACCUCAAAUGGACACGUUCCGGAUCAAAGUUUAGCACCGAGUCCGAUUUACCCUGAUUGUCCGUCCUAGCGAGGGACCAUGCCUAGCGAGUCCGUACAACUGGUCUACUCUUGUUUCGCUUCGAUGAGUAGGUUUGUUUCGUGUGCUCAUCCUAGUACCUCAAAUGCACACGUUCCGGAUCAAAUUUUAGCACCGACUCGGAUUUGGCCGGAAUGUCCGUCCUAGUGAGGGACCAUGCCUAGCGAGUCCGUACAAGUGGUCCAGUCUUGUUUCGCUUCGAUGAGUAGGUUUGUUUGGUGUGCUCAUCCUACUACCUCAAAUGGACACAUUCGGGAUCAAAGUUUAGCACCGACUCUGAUUUGGACGGCUUGUCCGUCCUAGCGAGGGACCAUGCCUAGCGAGUCCGUACAACUGGUCUACUCUUGUUUCGCUUCGAUGAGUAGGUUUGUUUGGUGUGCUCAUCCUAGUACCUCAAAUGGACACGUUCCGGAUCAAAGUUUAGCACUGACUCCGAUUUGGCCGGAUUGUCCGUCGUAGGGAGGGACCAUGCCUAGCGAGUCCGUACAAGUGGUCUACUCUUGUUUCGCUUCGAUAAGUAGGUUUGUUUGGUGUGCUCAUUCCAGUACCUGAAAUGGACACGUUCCCGAUCAAAGUUUAGCACCGACUCCGAUUUACCCCGAUUGUCCGUCCUAGCGAGGGACCUUGCCUAGCGAGUCCGUACAACUGGUCUACUCUUGUUUCGCUUCGAUGAGUUGGUUUGCUUGGUGUGCUCAUCCUAGUACCUCAAAUGGACACAUUCCGGAACAAAGUUUAGCACCGACUCCGAUUUUGCCGGAUUGUCCGUCUUAGUGAGGGACCAUGCCCAGUGAGUCCGUACAAGUGGUCUAAUCUUGUUUCGCUUCGAUAAGUAGGUUUGUUUGGUGUGCUCAUCCUUGUGCCUCAAAUGGACAGGUUCCGGAUCAAAGUUUAGCAGCGACCCCGAUUUACCCGGAUUUUCCGUCCUAGUGAGGGACCAUGGGUAGCGAGUCCGUACAAGUGGUCUCCUCUUGUUUCGCUUCGAUGAGGAGCUUUGUUUGGUGUGCUCAUCCUAGUACCUCAAAUGGACACGUUUCGGAACAAAGUUUAGCACCGACUUCGAUUUUGCCAGAUUGUCCGUCUUAGGGAGGGACCAUGCCUAGCGAGUCCGUACAAGUGGUCUAGUCUUGUUUCGCUUCGAUAAGUAGGUUUUUUUGGUGUGCUCAUCCUAGUACCUCAAAGGGACACGUUCCGGAUAAAAGUUUAGCACCGACUCCGAUUUACCCGGAUUGUCCGUCCUAGUGAGGGACCAUGCCUAGCGAGUCCGUACAAGUGGUCUUGUCUUGUUUCGCUUCGAUGAGUAGGUUUGCUUGGUGUGCUCAUCCUAGUACCUCAAAUGGGCACGUUCCGGAACAAAGUUUAGCACCCACUCCGAUUUUGCCGGAUUGUCCGUCCUAGGGAGGGACCAUGCCUAGCGAGUCCGUACAAGUGGUCUAGUCUUGUUUCGCUUCGAUGAGUAGGUUUGCUUGGUGUGCUCAUCCUAGUACCUCAAAUGGACACGUUCCGGAACAAAGUUUAGCACCGACUCCGAUUUGGCCGGAUUGUCUGUCGUAGGGAGGGACCAUGCCUAGCGAGUACGUACAACUGGUCUACUCUUGUUUCGCUUUGAUGAGUAAGUUUGUUUGGUGUGCUCAUCCUAGUACCUCAAAUGGACACGUUCCGGAUAAAAGUUUAGCACCGACUCCGAUUUGGCCGGAUUGUCUGUCGUAGGGAGGGACCAUGCCUAGCGAGUACGUACAACUGGUCUAUUCUUGUUUCGCUUUGAUGAGUAAGUUUGUUUGGUGUGCUCAUCAUAGUACCUCAAAUGGACACGUUCCGGAUAAAAGUUUAGCACCGACUCGGAUUUGGCCGAAUUGUCCGUCCUAGUGAGGGUCCAUGCCUAGCGAGUCCACCUUCUUAUUCUUUUCUUCUUCUUUUUUUUCUUUUUUUUAACCCCAGAAACUCACGGAAAAGAAGGACCGGAAAACUGUACGUCGGUCUGUCGAAGAACAGCAAAGGCUGCAGUAAGAAAACUUCAAAAAAAUAUGGAAAAAUAUGGGUUAGAAGCGUAUCGACACAAGCUUUCCAGCAAGGGCAAGAUCACUCAAAACGGAUGUCGGACGGUGGAGAAAACUGAGAAACACCGGGCUGCAGAAACUUGGAAACUCCCAAAGUCCACCUUACAAACCGAAUUUGAGGGUCAAAGUGCAGGGCAACGCCCUGGAUAUUUCAAGAUGCGCCUCGUCGUGAGCUUUCUAGAAAGUCCAAGAACGUCCAAAUCCGAGUUAUUACGCAAAAGAUAUGCCCAUUUUACUGAACACGGGUCAAACCCACCCGAAACUAAAAUUCUACUCGGACUCGGGUCUGAAACUGACUCGAACUCUUUCUCUUUUUUUUUUGUUUUUUUUAUUUCUUUGUUUCCUUUUUUUUUCUUUCCUUUCUUUUUUUUUCAACAUUCGAAACAACUUGAUCUCUAAAAAAAAUUCGAUCUAUGAUGAAACACUUUCCAAAAGCACUCCUUAUUGGACUCGGACUCGAACUCGCGGCUGAAAACUAUAACUUGCCGACUCGAUGUAGGACUCGAAGAGGGACACGGCGUAGGACUCGACGAGGGACUCGGUGUAGGACUCGAAGAGGGACUCGGUGUAGGACUCGAAGAGGGACUCGGUGUAGGACUCGAAGAGGGACUCGGUGGAAGAUAUGGUGGCGGCGGGAAAUUAUGGCGGUGGUGUGGCAGGAAGUUUGGCGGCGGAAGAUUGAUGAAGGAAACCUGCGUCACACGAAGAACAAGAAAACCAAAAGCAAGUUCGAUCUAGUAGAAAAAAUCUGAAAAACGAUCCAAUCUAAUCCAGCAACUCGACACGAUUAAUGCAGCAAAGAUUCAACAAUGCAAAUACUAAUGUGAAAAUUGCAAGGCUCAGAUUGGUUCUAGGACAAGGUAACUAAUUCUAAUUUUUGUUUGGAUUUUUCUGGACGAUAGGUAAAAACAGAUCUAAACUACGGAUAAACUGGAAAAAUCUCACCGAGCAACCUUAAGCUCUGAUACCACGUGAUACUGGUGCGGGUGGCCCGAUCUUUAGAUGAGAUUGAUAACUCUCGAUUUGGGUAGGAGGUGACGUUGACGAUCCGACUACGGCCUAGAAGGCAGCGCCUUAGCAAUCGAUACACCAACUCUAGAGGGUUAUUGAUCCCGCGGGGGCACGAUCAACCUGACCACGAAGGUCUUUGUUCCUGCAAGCAAUCGAACAACAAGCAAGAACAAGAUAAAUAGCGGAUGCAAUCUAAAAUUGCAAAUAUACUAUAUCAAACCAAUGUCUCAACGAGACGAUAAGUUGGGCUUCCGAAAGCGGUAAAACAGGUGGUCUAACCGACACACGCGAUUACACGAAGUAGUAGCGAUGGCUAACUUUUAACUAAACAAAACCCAAGCCUCCUUAGGGGGGCUCAUGGGGUAUAUAAAGGAGGAGGGAGAGAUAUUUUCGUGCACCUUGAGUAAGGAGGCCGAAAUCCAACUCUAUCUCUAACUUUCCUAACAAACUACAACUCUUUAGGAAACAGAAAAACAGAUCCGUCAGAUUUUUUUGUCAUUCACGGUCAGCACGAGUCGAAUCACUUGAUGGGGCCAGAUCCGUUGGAAAGGUCUUGUAAUUACCUUUCCAACAAGUACUUGUUUGCUUGAUUUGGACUCCGGAAGCGGCCUGGGUGAUUAAAACAAAUUCGGGUCUGCUGGCAGCUCAGACCCGAAUCGGAUUCAACUUUAAUUCGUGAUAUCUUUCCCUCUCAGCUGUAUGAAUGCUUGAUUCUUGUUGGCCCUCCCGUUCGCCUCCAUCGUAUCUCAUCUUGACCGUGGACUUGAAAAGCUCGACAAAAUGCCUACGUAAUAAAACGAGACAAGAUAAUAGUAGCUCCGCCUCUUCAUAAAUAUGACAAUGAAAACAAUUACUACUUGAAUUCACCUGAUUAUAAAUCUUGUCAAAUAUUAUUGAAUUGAGGGUACCAAAGGUCGUAUCCAAGGUUAGCAUGUCCAUAUCACCUAGUACCUCAAAUGGACACGUUCCGGAUCAAAGUUAAGCACCGACUCUGAUUUGGCCGGAUUGUCCGACCAAGUAAGGGACCAUGCUUAGCGAGUCCAUAAAAGUGGCCUAUUGUUGUUUCGCUUUGAUGAGUAGCUUUGUUUGGUGUGCUCAUCCUAGUACCUCAAAUGGACACGUUCCGGAUCAAAGUUUAGCACCCACUCCGAUUUGGCCCGAUUGUCCGUCCUAGCGAGAGACCAUGCCUAGCGAGUCCGUACAAGUGGUCUAGUCUUGUUCGCCUCGAUGAGGAGGUUUGUUUGGUGUGCUCAUCCUAGUACCUCAAAUGCACACGUUCCGGAUGGAAGUUUAGCACCGACUCCGAUUUACCUGGAUUGUCCGUCCUAGUGAGGGACCAUGCCUAACGAGUACGUACAACUGGUCUACUCUUGUUCGCUUCGAUGACGAGGUUUGUUUGGUGUGCUCAUCCUAGUACCUCAAAUGGACACGUUCCGGAUGGAAGUUUAGCACCGACUCUGAUUUGGCCGAAUUGUCCGUCGUAGUGAGGGACCAUGCCUAGCGAGUCCAUACGAGUGGUCUAGUCUUGUUUCGCUUCGAUGAAUAGGUUUGUUUGGUGUGCUCAUCCUAGUACCUCAAAUGGACACGUUCCGGAACAAAGUUUAGCACCGACUCCGAUUUAGCCGGAUUGUCCGUCCUAGUGAGGGACCAUGCCUAGCGAGACCGUACAAGUGGUCUAGACUUGUUUCGCUUCCAUCAGUAGGUUUGUUUGGUGUGCUCAUCCUAAUACCUCAAAUGGACACGUUCGGGAUCAAAGUUUAGCACCGACUCGGAUUUGGCCGGAUUGUCCGUCCUAGUGGGGGACCAUGCCUAGCGAGUCCGUACAAGUGGUCUAGUCUUUUUUCGCUUUGAUGAGUAGGUCUGUUUGGUGUGCCCAUCCUAGUACCUCAAAUGGACACGUUCCGGAUCAAAUUUAGCACUGACACCGAUUUCGCCGAAUUAUCUGUCCUAGCGAGGGACCAUGCAGGCAGAAUUGUCCAUCCAAGUGAGGAACCAGCUCUAGCGUGACCGUACAAGUGGUCUAGUCUAGUUUCGCUUCGAUGAGUAGCUUUGUUUGGUGUGCUGAUCCUAGUAUCUCAAACGGACACGUUCCGUAUCAAAGUUUCGCACCGGCUCCGAUUUAGCCGGAUUGUCGGUCCUAGUGAGGGACUAUGCCUAGCGAGGCCCUACAAGUGGUCUAGUCUUCGUUUCGCUUCGAUGAGAAGGUUUGUUUGGUGUGCUCAUCCUAGAACCUCAAAUGGACACGUUCCGGAUCAAAGUUUGGCACCGACUCUGAUAUGGCCGGAUUGUCCGUUCUAGUGAUGGACCAUGCCUAGCGAGACCGUACAAGUGGUCUAGUCUGGUUUCGCUUCGAUGAGUUGCUUUGUCUGGUGUGCUCAUCCUAGUACCUCAAAUGGACACGUUCCGUAUCAAAGUUUCGCACCGACUCCGAUUUAGCCGAAUUGUCCGUCCUGGUGAGCGACAAUGCCUAGCGAGGCCCUACAUGUGGUCUAGUGUUGUUUCGCUUCGAUGAGUAGCUUUGUUUGGUGUGGUACCCUGCCGGCAGAAUUGUCCGUCCUAGUGAAGCACCACCCCUAGCGAGUCCGUACAAGUGGUCUAGUCUGGUUUGGCCUCGAUGAGUUGCUUUGUUUGGUAUGCUCAUCCUAGUAGCUCAAAUGGACAUGUUCCGUAUCAAAGUUUCUCACCGACUCCGAUUUAGCCGGAUGGUCCGUCCUUGUGAGGGACGAUGCCUAGCGAGGCCCUACAAGUGGUCUAGUGUUGUUUCGCUUCGAUGAGUAGCUUUGUUUGGUGUGCUCAUCCUAGUACCUCAAAUGGACACGUUCCGGAUCAAAGUUUAGCACAGACUCCGAUUUAGCCGGAUUGUCCGUCCUUGUGAGGGACCAAGCCUAUCGAGUCCGUAAAAGUGGUCUAGUUUUCUUUCGCUUCGAUGAGUAGGUUUGUUGAAGCGACCGCCCCCAUACAAGGGUUCGAUCUCUGUGCUUUAGUGCUAGUCCCUGGAUCAACUCACUAGCACACACAGUUUCAAGAUGUAAUAUCAUAGAACAAAGGUCUCAAUAUUACAACGUUUCAUCCAGAAUAUAAGAGGGUACUUACAACUCGCAUAACCUCACGGGUUAGCUGGAAAUAAAACAACUGUUUAGCAGCGGAAAACGGAAGAUACAAGGGCACAUCAACACCACGGUGAGAGCGUGUUGGAAUGUUGGCCCGUAACCCAAACAAGUAGAACGUACAUCUUACUCGUCGUCGGAGCUUCCUGCAUCAUUAAACGAUGCAGCCACUAGGGUCAAUACAUUGAAUGUAUUGGCAAGAUUCACUAUGAGUUAUAUCAAAACCUACCAAGUAUAUGCAGUAUUUGGCAAGGUGGAGUUCAGGCUGUUUGCGUGGAAGCAGAACAUAAAUUACCCUACUACAAAGGAAUGUUAUAAUAAUGUUAACUAAUGGACACGGGGUAGACACACCCAUGCUCCUAUUAACCUAGAGUACAUUGAAGUGGAUUCUUCAAGUGCUCCUACCCUGUUCAAACCAUUCAUUUUAUUUAAGAAAUUGGAAUGAGUGAGACUUUUCUUACAGCUCCACAUCUAGUUGCUCAAAUUGUCCGUUGCCGGGGACACGGCUAAGUACUUAGUUUUGACGCUCUCGAGAGUUUGUACACAUUCCCCACAAGAAACCGACGUGUUAAUCCCUUGCUGUCCUCAGGGUAGAGUAGCAACGGCAUCGAUUACGAGAUUUUCAGAGGUAAUUCCCUAAACCACGAGAGAAUCACGCUCCCCCUACACGGCUACCUCAGUACAAUUCUUCGGGUCUAGGUUCAUACAACUUACUCUUGUCUCGCCAAAGCCCAUAUAGCAUUGUGGUUGUACUAGAAGCUUCUAAAUAGGAAACUAGUCCAGUCUCGGUUACCCCAGGUGGCAUUCCACAUUUGCAACGUAGGCGCUCCCCGAAUCCACGGGAGAGACGUCCAUGGACGAUCCAUUCUUGAAUCCACAGGAACUCGACUCAGAGGGACCCAUAGAAAUGGACCUGACGCCGCUAAUCCUCAAAAUCCUCAAAGCAGCCCACCCAGGAUGGUUCAUUGAAUUAGUUGUUUUGCCUUACAUCUAACAAAACAUUUCAUAUAGCCAAAGGCAUAACAAUAUCAUAAUGUAGUUAUUUCCCCCACGAUACUACCAUAGCUUAGCAUUCAAACUACAAUCGAUGGCAAUUUGGUAGCAAGGUAAUGGCGAGGGUAAACUAUACUACCUGGGAUUUAUAGCUAGCAUAGAGGUACGAGUAAUAGUCCUAUCAAUGCAUCUCUACCAACAACACUAAUGCAUAAGUAUUUUAAAACAACAAUAAUAAUGGGAUAUGAUCAAAGUGAACUUGCCUUGUCCAAGGUUGUGGUAGUUCUCGCACUCUUCGCAACCACAAGAAAUACACUCCACACAAUCUAAAAUAAAAGAAACACACACAAUAAACACAACAUUCAAUACAAAAACCAUGUCAUGAUGCAUAUGCCAAGAUGAUGCACACAAAGGUUACUUCUAACGUACAAAGUUUCGUUUCUGUUUUGAAAAGGCUCUCAAAAGAUUUGGACAGAUUAUACAACAUCAAAGUGGUAAUUAAUAUGCAUGAUACAUGAAUAGGGUUUAAAACAAAAGAUUGUGUGGCUUUUGCAACAUAGAGCAUUAUUUAACUUGUAUGCCAUGAUUAUACACAAAAUAAUUUCUUCUCUGGUCCUAAUGGAUAGAGAACAACUUUAAAUAAUUAUACUGCAAGAUAACAUGCUCAAAACUAUUUUGAAACAAUUCAUUUGAAAUUUAAACUCUAUUCAACCAAUCUGUAAAUUGCUUCUGACUAAUUUGUUCAAAACUGAAAUUAAAUAGUGCCAAAAUAUUCUAAACGUUGUGACGAUUCUAGAAAGGUGUGGAUCGUAAAUUUUGGACAAACGGUUUAAAAGAUAUGGGGUUUUGAAGUUGUAGGGGCUUUUCUGCAAAAUUGCAUUAUCCAAUUCGGCCGAAUUAAAAUAAAAAGAAAAACCUGCCACGUGGCAUGGCGGGACUGGCCGGUUUCUAGGGUUCCGGCCGGCGGCUAGCUCGCCGGCGGUGGCGCGGGGCGGCGUGGCGCGGGCAGAGGCGGCGCAGGCGAGCGGCAGGGGCGGCGCGCGCACGGCGGCGGCGGGCGGCGCGGGGCAGCGGGUCGCGCGGGCAGCGCGGGCGGCGCGGAGGCGGCGCGGGGCGCAGGACGCGACGGGCGGCGCGCGAGCGGAGCAGGGCGGCGCAGGCGGCCGCGCGGGCAUGGACAGCGCGCGGAGGGCGGCGGGCGGCGCGGCGCACGGGCGCGGCACACGGGGCGGCGCGGGGGUGCGGCCAGGCGGAGCGGGAGGCGGAGGCGGCGUGUGGACGGCGGAGCACGGGCGGCGGGGGGCGGCCGGCGCCGAGGAAGACGGCGGACGGAGGCGCAGAGCUCCAAAUCGCGGCCGGCUCGCGUCACAGCGUGCGCAAGGAAGAGAGGAGGAAGAUAGGGGGUCGGCGCGGGCGGAGACUCACCGGAAUGGCAACGAAAACGCGAAGAAUGGCGGUGGCAGCAACGAACUCCGGCGACCAAUUAGUUUCUAACCGGUGCGAAUUGGACGUGGGGUUUGGCGGAAGUGGAGGAGAUAAGCGAGGGCUUCGGGAUGACGCGCAAGGAUUUGGAGAAAACGGCCCGAGCGCGGAGAAAUCGGAGGUGGAGUCGUGGGCAGUUCGCGGGCGUGCGUGGCCGGAUUUUUCGGACGGAGGUUGAAGAUGACGCGUGGGUCCCACCGGUCAGUGAGAGCGGGCGGCUCGGGCGGGGCAGAGCCGGUCCGGUUCGGUCCGGUCCGGUUUGACCGGUUCGGCCGGUUUUCCCCGGUUUUCCUUUUCUUUUAUUUAUUUUCUGUUUUUGAACCUCAAAAUUGAUUCGGAGCUCCAAAUCACUCCAAAUAAAAUGCAACAAAAUUUGUAAAAUCAUAUUUUCAUAUGAUCUAACUUUUGGAGCAAGAAUUUUCUUAAAAUAAAAUAUUUCAAAAUACAUUUGCCUAUAAAAUGGAUUUUAGGCCCCUUAGGCUAUCGAAACAAAUUAUCUUUCAAAAUACUUUCAAAAGCCAAUCUAUGGGAUAGAUUAUAUAUGCAUUAAAUCCCAUUUUACCACAAUACCCUCAUGGGUUAAAAAUGCAAAUAGUCAAGAGCAAGAUCAAAGCCCAAAGUCAAAUAAAGGCAUUUUUGCAAAAGUGUUUUCUGGGCAAACUUUAGGGUUUUGAAAGUGAUCAAAUGCAAGGGUGACAUGAUGCUUAUGAUAUGCAAUGCAUAUGAAGAAUUUUGAAAAUUGGGAUGUUACAUUUGUUUGGUGUGCUCAUCCUAGUACCUCAAAUGGACACGUUCCGGAUCAAAGUUUGGCACCGACUCUGAUAUGGCCGGAUUGUCCGUUCUAGUGAUGGACCAUGCCUAGCGAGUCCGUACAAGUGGUCUAGUCUUGUUUCGCUUCCAUAAGUAGGUUUGUUUGGUGUGCUCAUCCUAAUACCUCAAUGUGACACGUUCCGGAUCAAAAUUUAGCACCGACUCCGAUUUGGCCCGAUAGUCCGUCGUAUUGAGGGACCAUGCCUAGCGAUUCCGUACAAGUGGUCUAGUCUGGUUUUCCUUCGAUUAGUAGCUUUGUUUGGUGUGCUCAUCCUAAUAUCUCAAAUGGACAUGUUCCGUAUCAAAGUUUCGCACCGACUCCGAUUUAUGCGCAUUGUCCGUCCUUGUAAGGGACUACGCCUAGCGAGGUCCUACAAGUGGUCUAGUGUUGUUUCGCUUCGAUGAGUAUCUUUGUUUGGUGUGCUCAGCCUAGUACCUCAAAUGGACACGUUCCGGAUCAAAGUUUAACACCAACUCGGAUUUGGCCGAAUUGUCCGUCCAAGUGAGAGACCAUGCCUAGCGAGUCCCUAAAAGUGGUCUAGUCUUCUUUCGCUUCGAUGAGUAGGUUUGUAUGGUGUGCACAUCCUUGUACCUCAAAUGGACACGUUCCGGAUCAAAGUUUAGCAUAGACUCCGAUUUAGCCGGAUUGUCCGUCCUUGUGAGGGACCAAGCCUAUCGAGUCCGUAAAAAUGGUCUAGUCUUGUUUCGCUUCGAUGAGUAGGUUUGUUUGGUGUGCUCAUCGUAGUACCUCAAAUGGACACGUUUUGGAUGAAAGUUUUGCACCGACUCGGAUUUGGCCGGAUUGUCCGUCCUAGUGAGGGACCAUGCCUAGCAAGUCCGUACAAGUGGUCUAGUCUUGUUUCGCUUCGAUGAGUAGGUCUGAGUGGUGUGCCCAUCCUACUACCUCAAAUGGACACGUUCCGGAUCAAAUUUAGCACUGACACCGAUUUGGCCGAAUUAUCUGUCCUAGCGAGGGACCAUGCAGGCAGAAUUUUCCAUCCAAGUGAGGAACCUGGCCUAGCGUGACCGUACAAGUGGUCUAGUCUGGUUUCGCUUCGAUGAGUAGCUUUGUUUGGUGUGCUGAUCCUUGUAUCUCAAACGGACACGUUCCGUAUCAAAGUUUCGCACCGACUCCGAUUUAGCCGGAUUGUCCGUCCUAGUGAGCGACUAUGCCUAGCAAGGCCCUACAAGUGGUCUAGAGUUGCUUUGUUUGGUAUGCUCAUCCUAGCAGCUCAAAUGGACAUGUUCCGUAUCAAAGUUUCUCACCGACUCCGAUUUAGCCGGAUGGUCCGUCCUUGUGAGGGACGAUGCCUAGCGAGGCCCUACAAGUGGUCUAGUGUUGUUUCGCUUCGAUGAGUAACUUUGUUUGGUGUGCUCAUCCUAGUAACUCAAAUGGACACGUUCCGGAUCAAAGUUUAGCACAGACUCCGAUUUAGCCGGAUUGUCCGUCCUUGCGAGGGACCAAGCCUAUCGAGUCCGUAAAAGUGGUCUAGUCUUGUUUCGCUUCGAUGAGAAGGUUUGUUUGGUGUGCUCAUCCUAGUACCUCAAAUGGACACGUUCCGGAUCAAAGUUUGGCACCGACUCUGAUAUGGCCGGAUUGUCCGUUCUAGUGAUGGACCAUGCCUAGCGAGACCGUACAAGUGGUCUAGUCUGGUUUCGCUUCGAUGAGUUGCUUUGUCUGGUGUGCUCAUCCUAGUACCUCAAAUGGACACGUUCCGUAUCAAAGUUUCGCACCGACUCCGAUUUAGCCGAAUUGUCCGUCCUCGUGAGCGACAAUGCCUAGCGAGGCCCUACAUGUGGUCUAGUGUUGUUUCGCUUCGAUGAGUAGCUUUGUUUGGUGUGGUACCCUGCCGGCAGAAUUGUCCGUCCUAGUGAAGCACCACCCCUAGCGAGUCCGUACAAGUGGUCUAGUCUGGUUUGGCCUCGAUGAGUUGCUUUGUUUGGUAUGCUCAUCCUAGUAGCUCAAAUGGACAUGUUCCGUAUCAAAGUUUCUCACCGACUCCGAUUUAGCCGGAUGGUCCGUCCUUGUGAGGGACGAUGCCUAGCGAGGCCCUACAAGUGGUCUAGUGUUGUUUCGCUUCGAUGAGUAGCUUUGUUUGGUGUGCUCAUCCUAGUACCUCAAAUGGACACGUUCCUGAUCAAAGUUUAGCACAGACUCCGAUUUAGCCGGAUUGUCCGUCCUUGUGAGGGACCAAGCCUAUCGAGUCCGUAAAAGUGGUCUAGUCUUGUUUCGCUUCGAUGAGUAGGUUUGUUUGGUGUGCUCAUCCUAGUACCUCAAAUGGACACGUUCCGGAUCAAAGUUUGGCACCGACUCUUAUAUGGCCGGAUUGUCCGUUCUAGUGAUGGACCAUGCCUAGCGAGUCCGUACAAGUGGUCUAGUCUUGUUUCGCUUCCAUAAGUAGGUUUGUUUGGUGUGCUCAUCCUAAUACCUCAAUGUGACACGUUCCGGAUCAAAGUUUAGCACCGACUCCGAUUUGGCCCGAUAGUCCGUCGUAUUGAUGGACCAUGCCUAGCGAUUCCGUACAAGUGGUCUAGUCUGGUUUUCCUUCGAUUAGUAGCUUUGUUUGGUGUGCUCAUCCUAAUAUCUCAAAUGGACAUGUUCCGUAUCAAAGUUUCGCACCGACUCCGAUUUAUGCGCAUUGUCCGUCCUUGUAAGGGACUACGCCUAGCGAGGCCCUACAAGUGGUCUAGUGUUGUUUCGCUUCGAUGAGUAGCUUUGUUUGGUGUGCUCAGCCUAGUACCUCAAAUGGACACGUUCCGGAUCAAAGUUUAACACCAACUCGGAUUUGGCCGAAUUGUCCGUCCAAGUGAGAGACCAUGCCUAGCGAGUCCCCACGAGCGGUCUACUCUUGUACCGGAGAUACAACCACAGCCCCUACAGCACAUACACCUCAAGUACCGGAGAUACACGGACCAAUUACUAGAGCUCGUGCACGACAACUAAAUUAUCUGGUACUUUCGUUCCUCGGUACUUCAUUUAAUAUUAAUGAGAAUAUGCUGCUGCCUAAGAUGGGUUCUUUUAUGUGUUUUAGGAAUGAAGGACCUAGCUUGCACCUCAAGGAUCAGCGUUGGACAGCAAACCAUGGAGGUGGCAGCAAGGUGGCGGGAGCUAACUCAAGUGAUGAUUUCAGAACAUUGAAACCGCCAUAACGAGAGAUGGGAAGAAGGCCGCAUCCUCUUCAUCAAUGGGAUUUCGGCCAAGUGGAGGAUUCUCCCUCCAAUGGGUAUCUAUGGGCCAAAGAUGAGGGUUAUAAUCUUGCUUUAUUGGGCCUAAGGCCAUAGAAUAGGGUCCAGCCAAUUUUUAGAUGUUUUCGUUGUGUUUUAGGAGGAUUCCUAGGCCGUUUCGGAGUCCCUCAAGGGCCUGUCCGAAAACCACCUAGUUCCCCUCCUGUUUAUACCCCAUGAGCCCCCCCGUGGAGCCUUGGGUUUUGAUUAGAUAAAGUUUAGCCUUUGCUACUUUCGUGUAAUCGCGUGUGUCGGUUAGACCACCUGUUUUACCGUCAUCAAGACUCCAACCAUAUUGAGUAUUCAGAUUCGUGAACUUUCAUAUCUCCUAUUCGCAAUUUCAGAUUGCUUUUCAUCUUGUUCUUGCUUGUUCUUCGAUUGCUUGCAGGAACAAAGACCUUCGUGGUCAGGUUGAUCGUGCCCCCGCGGGAUCAAUAACCUUCUGGAGUUGGUGUAUCGAUCGCUAAGGCGCUGCCUCCUAGGUUGUAGUCGGAUCGUCAACGCCACCUCCUACCAAAUCGAUAAUUAGGUAUCUCAUCGAAAGAUCGGGACACCCUCGAGGCUAUCACGUGGUAUCAGAGCUUAAGGUUGCUCGGUGAGAUUUUUCCAGUUUAUCCGUAGUUUAGAUCUGUUUUUACCUAUCGUCCAGAAAAAGCCAAACAAAAAUUAGAAUUAGUUACCUUGUCUUAGAACCAAUCUGAGCCUUGCAAUUUUCACAUUAGUAUUUGCAUUGUUGAAUCUUUGCUGCAUUAAUCGUGUCGAGUUGCUGGAUUAGAUUGGAUCAUUUUUCAGAUUUUUUCUACUAGAUCGAACUUGCUUUUGGUUUUCUUGUUCUUCGUGUGACGCAGGUUUCCUUCAUCAAUCUUCCGCCGCCAAACUUCCUGCCACACCACCGCCAUAAUCUUCCGCCGCCACCAUAUCUUCCACCGAGUCCCUCUUCGAGUCCUACACCGAGUCCCUCUUCAAGUCCUACACCGAGUCCUUCUUCCAGUCCUACACCGAGUCCCUCUUCGAGUCCUACAUCGAGUCGGGAAGUUAUAGUUUUCAGCCGCGAGUUCGAGUCCGAGUCCAAUCAAGAGUGCUUUUGGAAAGUGUUUCAUAAUAGAUCGAAUUUUGUUUAAAGAUCAUGUUGUUCGGAAAGUUGUGAAAAAAAAAGAAGGGAAAGAAAAAAAAAGGAAGAAAGAAAGAAAAAAAAAGGAAAAAAAAAAGAGAAAGAGUUCGAGUCAGUUUCGGACCCGAGUCCGAGUAGAAUUUUAGUUUCGGGUGGGUUUGACCCAUGUUCAGUAAAACGGACGUAUCUUUUGCAUACCAACUCGGAUUUGGACAUUCUUGGACUUUUUGGAAAGCCCACGACGAAGCGCAUCAGGAAAUAUCCAGGGCUCUGCUUGACCCUAAAAUUCGGCCUCUAAGGUGGACUUUUCGAUCUCCAAAGUUUCUGCACCCAUUUUACGGCACCGGGGCAGCGCAGUAUAUCUCAGUUUUCUCCACCGUCCGACCUCCGUUUCGAGUGAUCUUGCACUUGUUGGAAAGCUUGUUUUGAUACGCUUCUAACCCAUAUUUUCUCAUAUUUUUCUGAGUUUUCCUUAGUACAGCCUUUGCUAUUCUCCUACAGACCGACGUGCAGCUUUCCGGUCUUAACUUCUUUUGCGUGAGUUUCUGGGGAUAAAAAAAAACGAAUAAAAAAUAGAAAAGAAUAAGAAGCCAAACAAAAGGCCAAAAAAAAAAGAAAAAAAAAGAGAAAAAAUAUUCCCCAGAGAUUUACUUGUUUUACCUUUCAUUUGAUCUUUCCUUUGUACCUUUUUCAGUAUCUAGGCUUAGUUAAUUUCUGUAAUUCGUUCUUGUCAACUCCAGCAACUAGGACUAGCAUUUUUGAGCAUAUUUUCAACUUUGCAUUGCUGAUUUGAUUAUUCGCUUUUCCUUGCUACUCACAUAAGCGUCCAAGCUCCACAGAUUCUACACCUAGGUUGGUUUGCCUCGAGGCAUCGAUACACUAAUCUUCGGAGGGCUUGUUCUCGCCGCUGGCCAUCACCUUCCUGUUUGCUGGGUAAGAACGAGUAAGAACUUGAUUAAAAGUUGAGUGGAGUGAUCUUUGGAACCCCACAUCCUAGUAGUGCAUAGGGACUUUUCCUUGUGAUUUGUUUCUUGUUUUCUCCUAACGAUGGCAGGUUCUGACGAUGAUUUACAAGGCCACUCUCCACGCACAAAGGGCAUUAUUUCACAUUUUGAUCGCAAGCUUAGGCUCCGUAACGAGGAGCUGGAUGAGGACGUUCGGGUUGCGAAUGAGAGACUUGGAACCUUGGAGAGCGCGCACAUUGAAACAAAUACCAAGCUAACAUCUUUACAGAAUUCUGUUGCUACCAUUAGUACUUCUCUGGCAGAAAUCACGACGCAACUGGCGGCAAUUGCUGCAACGACCAUCGCUACAUCGGGAGGAAACAAUACACACAACCAGCGGACCGCUAAUAACGGUACCUUCGCAAGCGAGGUUGAGGAGAACGACGACGACUACUCCGCGGAUACGGAACACGACGGGACCGUAAACCAUCACAACUACCGUGAUCAUCGCCGAACUCGUUUCAACCGCCGAGGUAUGGGACCGACACGACCUCACAGAGAGGAACAUGACUUGCUGCAUUCUAUUAAAUUUAAGGUUCCUCCUUUUGAUGGAAAAUAUGACCCUGAUGCUUACCUUACAUGGGAAUUAGAAUUGAGUCAAAAAUUUACUUGCCAUGAUUUUCCUGCUAAUAAGAGGGUUAGGGCUGCUACUAGUGAGUUUACUGAUUUUGCUUCUGUUUGGUGGCAUGAGUAUUGUAUUGCACAUCCUAACGCUAUACCACCAACAUGGGAUGAUUUGAAAAGAAUUAUGCGUGCUAGAUAUGUUCCUUCAUACUAUUCGCGUGACUUGUUAAAGAAACUACAACAAUUAAGGCAAGGUAGUAAUUCUGUCCAAGAUUAUUAUCAAGAAAUGCAAAAGAAGAUGUUACGUUGUGGUUUAGUUGAGAAUGAGGAAGCUGCUAUGGCUAGAUUCUUUGGUGGUUUAAAUCGUGAAAUUGCUGACAUUGUUGAUUAUAAGGAGUAUAAUUCUAUCAAUCGAUUGUUUCACAUUGCUUGCAAAGCUGAAAGGGAAGUGCAGGGACGACACGCGAACGCGCGGACUAACUUUUCUGCAGGUCGUACUUCCUCAUGGGCAGCACGCAGCCCUGCUGCCCCUUCCACACGCCCAGCUGCACCCCCUACACGUCCGGCUGUUCUGACUACUUCCACCAACAAGCAAAGUACCUCUACACCUACAUCCGCAAAGGUUGGACCAGCAGCAACAAGAAAUACACCCGCUGCCUCUGCACAAAGUUCAGCAGCGUCCGUUGCUUCCACCGGGUUAGGGCUGCUACUAGUGAGUUUACUGAUUUUGCUUCUGUUUGAUGGCAUGAGUAUUGUAUUGCACAUCCUAACGCUAUACCACCAACAUGGGAUGAUUUGAAAAGAAUUGAUAUGGAAACCAUGGAUACGACCAUUAGAACCCUAAUUGUUGGUGUCUCUAAUAAUUAUAAUCAGGUGAAUUCAAUUACAAAAUGUUUUCAAUAUGUUACUUGCAAAGAGGCGGAGCUACUAUCUUGUGUAAUCUUAUUAUGUAGGCAUCUUAUUGAACUUUACAAGUCCAAAGUGAAGAUGAAGUGUUAUAGCCUGCAAAGGGAGAUUCAAAGUGAAGCCUAUCAAGUCUACUUUCCAACAAAUCAAACGGCACAUGAUUCGGAGCUUGCUACAGAAAGAUAUCACGAAUUAAAGUUGAAUCCGAUUCGGGUCCGAGCUGUCAGGAGACCCGAAUUUGUUUUAAUCACCCAGGCCGCAUCCGGAGUCCAAAUCAAGCAAACAAGUACUUGUUGGAAAGGUAAUUACAAGACCUUUCCAACGGAUCUGGCCCCAUCAAGAGAUUCGACUCGUGCUGACCGUGGCGGACAAAACAAGCAGACGGAUCUGUUUUUCUGUUUCCUAAAGAGUUGUAGUUUGUUAGGAAAGUUAGAGAUAGAGUUGGAUUUCGGACUCCUUAUUCAAGGUGGACGAAAAUAUCUCUCCCUCCUCCUUUAUAUACCCCAUGAGCCCCCCUAAGGAGCCUUGGGUUUUGAUUAGAUAAAGUUUAGCCUUUGCUACUUUCGUGUAAUCGCGUGUGUCGGUUAGACCACCUGUUUUACCGUCAUCAAGACUCCAACCAUAUUGAGUAUUCAGAUUCGUGAACCUUCAUAUCUCCUAUUCGCAAUUUCAGAUUGCUUUUCAUCUUGUUCUUGCUUGUUCUUCGAUUGCUUACAGGAACAAAGACCUUCGUGGUCAGGUUGAUCGUGCCCCCGCGGGAUCAAUAACCUUCUAGAGUUGGUGUAUCGAUCUCUAAGGCGCUGCCUCCUAGGUUGUAGUCGGAUCGUCAACGUCACCUCCUACCAAAUCGAUAAUUAGGUAUCUCAUCGAAAGAUCGGGACACCCUCGAGGCUAUCACGGAAGAUGAAGUGUUAUAGCCUGCAAAGUUAUUAUAAGUUCAGCACGUUCCUUAGCAUCAAAGUUAACUUUUUCAGAAGUUGGCAAAGGUAACAAAUCAAUUGGUGCACGAGGCAUAAAACCAUAAACAAUUUCAAAAGGGCACAAUUUUGUGGUUGAAUGCAGUGAACGAUUAUAAGCAAAUUCAGUAUGAGGUAAACAUUCUUCCCACAUUUUCAAGUUCUUCUUUAAAACAGCCCUAAGCAUAGUAGAUAAUGUUCUAUUAACAACUUCAGUUUGUCCAUCUAUUUGGGGAUGACAUGUAGUACUAAAAAUCAAUUUAGUCCCCAACUUAGCCCAUAAACAUCUCCAAAAGUGGCUAAGAAAUUUUGUGUCACGAUUUGAAACUAUAGUAUUGGCACACCAUGCAAGCGAACAAUUUCACGAAAGAAUAAAUCAGCAACAUUUGUAGGAUCAUCGCUCUUAUGACAAGGUAUAAAAUGUGCCAUCUUAGAAAAUCUAUCAACAACAACAAAUAUGCUAUCCCUCCCCUUCUUAGUUCGAGGCAAUCCCAAAACAAAAUCCAUUGAUAUAUCUUUCCAAGGAACAUUAGGAACAGGGAGAGGCAUAUAUAAACCAUGAGGAUUGAGUCGUGACUUAGCUUUUUGACAUGUAGUGCAGCGAGCGAUAAAUCUCUCAACAUCCCGUCUCAUCCGAGGCCAAAAGAAAUGAUCAGCGAGCACAUCUUCGGUCUUCUUCACGCCGAAGUGACCCAUCAACCCUCCUCCAUGUGCCUCCUGUAACAACAAAAGACGAACGGAGCUAUCUGGGAUGCAUAGCUUGUUAGCACGGAACACAAAUCCAUCAUUAAUGACGAACUUGUUCCAUGUUCUGCCCUCUUUACAAUGCUGCAAAACAUCCUUAAAAUCGGCAUCAUGUUCAUAUUAUUCUUUUAUAGUCUCCAAUCCAAAUAUCCGAAAAUCAAGCUGAGAUAACAAGGUAUAACGACGUGAUAACACAUCAGCAAUAACAUUAUCUUUACCUUUCUUGUGUUUAAUAACAUACGGAAAAGACUCAAUAAAUUCAACCCAUUUAGCAUGACGACGGUUCAGCUUUGCUUGACUACGAAUAUGCUUCAAAGAUUCAUGAUGAGAAUGUAUAAAAAAUUCUUUGGGCCAUAAAUAAUGUUGCCAUGUUUCUAAAGUCCGAACGAGAGCAUAUAAUUCCUUAUCAUAAGUAGAAUAAUUCAGACUAGGCCCACUCAAUUUUUCACUAAAGUAUGCAACAGGUUUUCCAUCUUGUAACAACACACCUCCUAAACCGAUUCCACUAGCAUCACACUCCAACUGAAAAGUCUUAUUAAAAUCAGGAAGUUGGAGUAAAGGAGCAUGUGUCAACUUAUCUUUCAAUAUGAGAAAAGCUUCUUCUUGUGCAGCGCCCCAUACAUAUGGAACGUCGUUCUUUGUGAGCUCAUUAAGCGGUGCAGCAAGGGUGCUGAAAUCCUUUACAAAACAGCGAUAAAACCCAGCGAGUCCAAGAAAGCUCCUCACUUGGGUGACCGUUGUUGGAGUUGGCCAGCUUUGAAUAGCGUCGAUCUUGGCCUUAUCAACUUCUAUGCCCUGUGGAGUGACAACAUAGCCAAGAAACGAAACUCGAUCGGUGCAAAAGGUGCACUUCUCAAGGUUACCAAACAAACGUGCAUCUCUCAAAGCAUCAAAAACAGCACGUAAAUUAUUCAAGUGGUUUUCUAAAGAGCUGCUGUAAAUCAAUAUAUCAUCAAAAUAAACCACCACAAAUCGUCCUAUGAAAGCACGUAAAACUUCGUUCAUUAACCGCAUGAAAGUGCUAGGUGCGUUAGUAAGACCGAAAGGCAUGACUAACCACUCAUAUAGUCCAAACUUAGUUUUAAAUGUUGUUUUCCAUUCAUCGCCUAAUACAUUUGAAUUUGGUGGUAACCACUACGUAAAUCAACUUUAGAGAACUCGGUAGAGCCACUUAAUUCAUCUAACAUAUCAUCAAGUCUAGGAAUUGGGUGACGAUAGCGAAUAGUAAUGUUAUUAAUAGCUCUACAAUCUACACACAUACGCAAAGAACCAUCUUUCUUUCGUACCAAAAUAACAGGAACAGCACAAGGACUAAGGGAUUCACGAACAUAACCUUUGUCGAGCAAUUCUUAAACUUGUCGUUGAAUCUCUUUCGUCUCCUCUGGAUUGGUACGGUAGGGCGCACGGUUGGGCAGCGAAGCACCAGGAAUUAAAUCAAUUUGAUGUUCAAUCCCUCGAAUAGGUGGUAAUCCUGGUGGUACGUCUUGUGGAAAGACGUCGGAAUACUCCUGCAAAACGUGAGUAACAGCAGGGGGCAAAGAGGGAGGCAUAUUCUCAAAUGAAAACAAAGCCUCUUUGCAAAUGAAUGCAUAGCAAACAGAAUUAUUCGUAUCUAACUCAGAAAUAUCAGAUUUACUUGCAAGCAAGCAUGCACCUCUCAAUUUUAUUUCAUUAACAUGUUUCGGUUCAGAUUUGCUAGUAGACGCUUGGUGCUUAAAUUCUUUAGCGACAUUCUGGUUCUCACUCUUAUCCUUCUCUUUGCUCUUUGCUCUACUAGCUCUAGCAAGAUCAUCUUUCACAAUUUGUUCAGGAGUCAUAGGUUUCAAACCAAUUUUCUUACCAGCAAGCAUAAAAGAACAAUGAUUAGUUCUACCAUGAUGAACAGAAUCUGUAUCAUAUUGCCAUGGACGACCGAGUAACAUAGAACAUGCUUGCAUAGGUACCACAUCACAAUCCACAAAAUCAGACUAUGUACCGAUAGUAAAGUGUGCACGGACUAUUCUAGUUACCUUGAGCUUACCGCUGUUGUUAAACCAUUGAAUGUAGUAAGGGUGGGGGUGCGGCCUGGUGGUAAGAACAAGUUUUUCCACCAUCUCCGUGCUGGCCAAAUUAUUGCAACUUCCCCCAUCUAUGAUGAUACGAACAGCGCCCUCCUUGAUGACCCCUUUUGUUUGGAACAAGUUAUGCCGCUGAUUUUGUUCGGCGUGGCUCAUUUGGACGCUCAAGGUGCGUUGUGCAAUCAAACUCAAGUACUGAUCAGCGGUUUCAGCUCCCAUUAUCUCCUCGUCAUGGUGGGCAGCGGGGUCUUCUUGCUCUUCCUCGGCAAUGAGAGCAUAGGUAGCGUCGUCAAAAUCACUGGCUGAAUCAUAUACUCCAUCUUCACGUAUGAUCAUAACGCGUUUGCUUGGACAGUCCCGCUGAAAAUGCCCGUAUCCUUUGCACCUACGACAUUGGUUAUCUCCGGUCCGUCCGGUGGAUGCAACGGACGCUGCUGAACUUUGUGCAGAGGCAGCGGGUGUAUUUCUUGUUGCUGCUGGUCCAACCUUUGCGGAUGUAGGUGUAGAGGUACUUUGCUUGUUGGUGGAAGUAGUCGAAACAGCCGGACGUGUAGGGGGUGCAGCUGGGCAUGUGGAAGGGGCAGCGCGGCUGCGUGUUGCCCAUGAGGAAGUGCGACCUGCAGAAAAGUUAGGCCGCGCGUUCGCGUGUCGUCCCUGCACUUCCCUUUCAGCUUUGCAAGCAAUGUGAAACAAUCGAUUGAU